rnacentral:lncRNA from 1 species
UGUAACGAUGUCCCUGAAGAACUCAACGGACUCCGUCAACUCCUCGGCCGUCUUACCCUUCCACUUAACGGCGAGCUGAGGCACGACGUUAUCCUCCAAGUACACUCCGAUCGCCGUGAACUUCACGAAGUUCCCCUGAAUCUCCAGCCCCCUCACCCCUGCGCACGUUAGCAACCAAAAUACCGUCAAGCGGAAGCAAAAGCAAGCAACAAACAUUCAAACAAUCAGAAUCGCGGAUGUAAGCGCCGGAGAUGCGAAGUUUACAAACCUGCGCCGCCGAGGAACAGAGUGUUGGAGGAGCCCGGAGGUUUGACGGACGGUGGAAACGCAGUCGUCUCGACCUGGAGUCCGGCGACCGAUGGCGUUGGAGCCAUCUGACAAUUUUGUUGUUAUUGUGUAGAGAGAGAGAUGGGGUCUGCUUUAGGAAACGGUGGGUUUAAAUAGAGAUGGAAAGUGGACGGGAGAGGGUUUGAUGAGUAAGAAGAGGCAGUUGGGUGGGAGCCUUAAAAAGGUGCCGGCGGCUCAAGGGAGUCCGGGUUUGAUGAGUAAGAAGAGGCAGUUGGAUGAGUAAAAGAUUCAAUUUUAAGUAAGCAACGAACUUUUCUAAGUUAGCUGGUGAUGGGUCCAUCUUGGGUGAUGUGAAAGGGUACGGUGGCAGCUACUACUUUAAGGGUCAUCAAAUAGUUUUAAUUAUGAAAACAACGAUUUAAUUUUGGGGGAUGUGAAAGAGGUUAGGUGGACAGCGGACCUUUACAUAUAUGUAUUUACUGUUUAGCUUUUUGUUUUUAAUUAGUGUGCUUAAAAAAUAAAAUUAACAACUAAAAUUAAAAAUCUUAACAAAUUCAUAAUAAAUAUGUAUGAACUAAUACUAAACUAGAAAACUUACAGAAAUUCUGAAAUUGCUGUUGAUGGCCUUCGCUGGCUUGGGUGGCAUGAUAAAGUUGAAUUUGAUUGAAUUUGAUUGAAAGUAGACUAAUGAAAAGCAAUUAGGUAUAUUAUAUUUAGGAAUAGUAUUAUCUUCCCUCUUUUUUCCCUCCUCUCAUAUUUGAAUAGUCACGAUUAAACCAUGUCAACAUCUUAUAUUAAUUUUUUAUAGCAAACGAAAGACAAAAUAAGAGAAUGAAAGAGAAGGGGAUUGAAAGGGAUGGAAAGAGGAGGUGAGAGAAUCAUAUUCCUUUGAAAGUAGACUAAUGAAAAGCCAUGGGCUUUAUUAAAUUUCAAAUUGUUUGACUUUUUAAUAAAAGAUGGUGAGUGCUAUCACGUGAAGGCUCUCAUGUGGGUUUUUAAUUUUUUUUUUAAUGACUUGGAUCACAAUGACGUAGUUUUGGUCAAGUCGUUUAAAAUAAAAAAAACCUUUCUUCUUCCUCCUUCAGUUUUGCACAGCGCAGCAGCGACCACUGCUCAGACUUGGGUGGUCCUAAGAGGUCUUCGCAACCAUUUAUCCAAGCUUCUGGGUGGUCACGAGGCCACCCUGGUCCCGAGACCAUCCUGGUCCCUUAGUAAAUCUGCCUCUGCACAUGAUAUAGUAAAUUUAAUUAAUUCAUAUAAUAUAUAAGAAGCCAAUUUGUAGCAAAAGUGAGCAGGAAAGAUGUCAAAAUCCGAUGCAAACUCCAAAACUAACCAUUUAAAAUUAGGAUUACUAACCGUCAGUGAUCCCUUGGGGGAUUGCGUGAAAAGAAUGGAGGCACCGGGCAGGAAAUUUUGAUCGUUGAAGACCUCAAGGAACUUUUCAAUGGCCUUUUCUUUUGCAUCAGUGUAAAUUCCGACUAAUUUUGAUUGUUGUCACUUGAAUGAAUUUCUCAAACGAACCUACAAAAGGAUAGCGAAGAUCAUAAACCGUGCUACAAAACUUUAGUCAUAUCUUUAGUAACUGUUUAUUAUGCCUCAAGUAAUCACCACAACUAGAAGAUAGCACUACAUUUUGAGAGAUUCAUUCAUUCUAAUUGGCUGGUCAGGACUAAAUUACCACCAUAACCAUAAGCAUACAUAAAAUUAAAAAUGAGAGUAUAACUCAAGAAAUCUACAACAUUUGUUGAAUGUUACAGAUCUAUAUUGGCAACUGAGAAAAGGGCGGGCUAUAGGAUUGCCUAGGUUUGGCAUGACUACCGAUCAUUCUAAAACGAGGAGCUCAAAUCAAUUUACCAAAAAUUACGGAAGGCAUACGUGUUACCUGUAACAAUGUCCCUGAAGAACUCAACGGACUCCGUCAACUCCUCUGCCGUCUUACCCUUCCACUUAACGGCGAGCAGAGGUACGACGUUAUCCUCCAAGUAUAGUCCAAUCGCCGUGAACUUCACGAAGUUCCCCUGAAUCUCCAACCCUCUCACCCCUGUGCACUUUAGCAACCAAAAUACAGUCAAGCGGAAGCAAAAGCAAGCAACAAGCAUUCAAACAAUCAGAAUCGCAAAAAAUAUGUAUGAACUAACACUGUAACACAAUCUUCGACAAAAAAGAAAAAUACAAUGUAAUAGAAUUCAAGUAAUAUCAAAAAAUCCUAGCGAAUGAACAAUAAAUAUGUAUGAACUAACACUAAAAUAGAUAUGAAAAAAUCCUAAGAAAUUAACAAUGGAUAAGGCUGAACUUUGUUUAAAACCCGUUAGUGUGUGAUUGUUUGGCUUUUUAUAAAAAACCCUUACCAAAAACCAUUAUCAAAGACCCUUACAUAUAUGUAUUCACUGUUCAACCUUUUGUUUUUAAUUAGUGUUCUUAAAAAAUAAAAUAAAAAACUAAAACUAAAAAUCCUAACAGAUUAACAAUAAAUAUGUAUGAACUAACACUAAGAAUAAGUAUGAACUAACAUUAAACUAGAAAACUUACAGAAAUUCUGAAAUUGUUGUUGGUGGCCUUCGCUGGCUUGGGUGGCGUGAGGAAUAGGCAAUUAGGUAUAUUAUAUUUGAUAAAGUUGAAUUUAAUUGAAAGCAGACUAAUGAAAAGCCAUGGGCUUUUAUUAAAUUUCAAAUUGUUUGACUUUUUAAUAAAAGAUGGUGAGUGCUAUCAAGUGGGUUUUAAAUUUUUUUAAUAACUUGGCUCAAAACAACGUCGUUUUGGUCAAGUCAUUAAAAAAAAAAAACCUUUCUUCUUCCUCCUUCAGUUUUGCACAGCGCAGCAACCAUGGCUGCUGCUCUUCUCUACCACUGCCCAGACUUGGGUGGUCCUAGGAGGUUCUCACAGCCAUUUAUCUUAGCUUCUCUUUGGUCCCGAGACCACUUUGGUCCCUUAGUAAAUCCGCCUCUGCACCUUAUAUAGUAAAUUUAAUUAAUUCAUAUAAUAGAUAACAAAUUUACCUAAAUCCGUCUAGACGGCCUAGGUGCGCUCGCCUAGAUCCCGCCUAGCCGACUAGGCACUAGGCGCCAGCCCAUCGCCCAACCAGCGCCUAGCGUUUUUUAGAACCUUGGUUUACAUGUCAAUAAUGUUAUAAUCCAACGUGUCAAUAAUGUUACAAUCCAACGUGUUAUAUUUCAUCUAAUUUUAUAUUUCAUGUAAUUUGGUUUGAUGCUGCUAAUCUUUCUGUUGUUGAAGGAUUUAGAUUGUGUAACAAUUGAUUAGUUUGCAGGAGAAUCAAGGGGAAUUUAUCAAAUAUAGCCAAAAUUUAGCCUUUAAUUUCAAAUAUCUCAAUUUUUAUAAAUAUUUUCAAAUAUAUCUAAAAUCUCACUUAAAUAGACACAAAUACUCUCAAAUUUAAAAACCAAAUAAACAAAAGAACCAAAACUCUAUUAGGUGAAAAAUUAGAGAAUUUGACAGCAAAACCCUAGGCAUAAGAAAUGGUGGAGACAUGUGCAUAAGAGAGUGAAGGCAUCGGUUAGUAGGAAACGGUGGAGACUUGUGUAGCUGUAAACGACGGUGAGUGUAGAUGGUUAAUUUUCUUGCAUAUUUUCUUGUCUAUGUUUUUUCUUUGCUUUUGUUGUUCUUCCUUUGAUUAAAUAUUUAUUGAAGAAUGAAUUGUCAAUCCUUGUUUACGUUUUCUCUUUGUCAGACGUUGUACCACAACACUUGUAGGUAAAUUUUUGGAUUUUGCACUUGUUUGUGUUUGCUUUAGAUUUGCGGUGGACCUCAUGGAGUAAAUCAUAGCUCUUCCUGUGUAUUACGGUGUUUAUGAAUUUGUUAGUGCAAGUUGAGCAAGAUCAACCAGUUUUUCAUGCCGCAUUUACAAACAGAAUCAAUCACCUUCAUAGUCCUCAAUUCAUGAGUCAGCAACACUUUGAUUGUAGCACUAGAAGUCUUUUAGUCAAUAACUAAUUAUUCAAAGAAAUUGAGGGUAUUUGUGUCUAUUUAAGUGGAAUUUUGGAUAUAUUUGAAAGUUUUUAUAAAAACUGUCAUUUAUGAAAUUAAGGGUCAAUUUUCGGCUAUAUUCGAUAAAUUCUCAUAAUCAAGUGACACAAAGAAGGAUCGAAACAAGUGGGGUGGUGGAGAAAAGGAUUGUUCACUCUUGAUGCUUGGUUCUAAGGCCAUCUCCAACCGAAGGUUGGCCAAAACCCUCUAAGAAAUUAAUAUUUUAAUGAACAGUGUAGGGCCAUAUUCCUUAGGCCAUCUCCAACCGAAGGAUCCAGAGGGCCAGACGCCCGAAAAUUAUCUCCAACCGAGGGCUAGGCCAGAGAGGUCGUGGAAUUUUAGAGGGCUCCACGGAAUCUGAAAGGGCUUGAUGGCUGUAGGGCUGGCUACGGCUGGCCAGAAAAUUGAUUAAUCUUGUCGAUUAUAACCGACAGUAAUACAUUUAUAUUAAAUACAAUAAAUGUAUUCUUGUCGGUUAUAACCAACAGGAAUUCUUAAAAAGACUUUUGAAUCCAACGGCUAGCUGGCUCCAGUUACCAAUGGAUUCAAGUUUUUUGUUUUUUUUUAGGUUUUUUGGGGCUUUUGGUGAAACACCCUAACCCCAUUUUAUUUAAAAAUUGUUUUAAAGCCUUAAUUGGUGAGCCCGUGGGACCCACUUUGUUUUAUUUUUUUUGUGUUUCCCGGUCUCUUUCUCUCCUAUCCCAGUUCUCUUUCUUCCUCUUCUUCUUCCCUUUCCCGUAUACCCCUCUCAACUCUCUCUCUCCAUCUCUAUCAACGUGAACACCCACCACCAUAAUCACCGCAGCUACUCUACUCGAGAACAUCAUCAUCAUCAAGCACUGCUCUAGUCUUUCUUCCAUCGCAGCGAGAUUGGUGAAAGCAGAGAAAAGGAACCUCCGGCGAGCACCGCCCCUUUUGAGGCUAUUUCAGGCCAAACCACGGUGAUUUGGCCGGCGUGUAAGGUAUCAAUUUCUUCGUCUCGUCGAGAACUACAACUUUCCUUUUUGUUUCACUUGAUUUCGUUGAGUAUUGAAGAAGUUAUACUCAUUUGAAUCUUACCCAGUUUCCAGCGACCUCAGUGGCUUUCGAGGCAUUUUCCGGCCAAACCAUGGCAAGUUGGAUGUCGUGUAAGGUAUCAUUCUCUUCGUCUCUUCAAGGGAUACAACUUUAUUUUUUGUCUCGCUUGAUUUCGUUGAGUAGUGACCAAGUUAUAGCCGUUUAAAGUUGGGUGGUUUUCCGGCCGAAUCUCCGGCCUUCUUCUUCGGCAAAACCAGGCCUCUCAGGCCCUUUAGAAAACCCCACGGGCCUUAAGCCUGUUAUAUCUUAGCCCAAAACCCCAGCCCACAUCCUUUUUGUUUUUGUUUAUUUGUUUUUAAAAACCCAAAGGCCUUGGGCCGGUUUUUGGUUAAGGGGCUCUAAGCCCAACCCUUUAAUAAGGCCUUAGGGUCGGCCUCUGUGUGUGUGUGUGUGUGUGUUGUGUGGGUUGUGCACUGCAUGUGCAGCCCGUGUGUGUGUGUGUGUGUUUGUUUGUGGUGUGUGUGUGUGUGUGUGUGUGUGUUUGGGGUUUAAGCCCAAACCACAUUUCUUCACCCUAAACCCUUUUAACCCAAAAACCUUAGAAAACCCAAAACCCAAUAUAUCCUAAUCCUAUUUAACCUAAACCCUAAUCCGGAUUUCAAGCCUAAAACCCGAUAGACCUAAUUUGACUAUUGACCCCCGGUCAACGUUGACUUUAGGGUUAACUUUUCAGGUUUUCGUCCGGGACCCUUCUUAGGGUAAUUCGACAUAUUCAAGAUGAUAUUCCUUGGUGUAUGCUUCUCGCAGACGAUAUAGUGUUGAUAGAUGAAACUCAGGAAGGGGUAAAUGCAAAGCUUAACCUUUGGAGAGAAGUGUUGGAAUCUAAAGGUCUUCGCCUAAGCUGAUCAAAGACAGAAUAUAUAGAGUGCAAGUUCAGUGCAAAUGGAGGCCAAAACGAGUUAGGGGUGAGGAUCGGAGAUCAAGAAAUACCAAAGAGCGAUCGUUUUCGUUACCUAGGAUUUAUCUUGCAAAAGAACGGAGAAUUAGAUGGAGAUCUCAACCAUAGAAUACAAGCUGGAUGGAUGAAGUGGAAGAGUGCAUCCGGCGUAUUGUGUGACCGUCGUAUGCCACUGAAGCUCAAGGGAAAAUUUUAUAAGACGGCAAUAAGGCCGGCGAUGCUGUAUGGCACAGAAUGUUGGGCGGUGAAGCAUCAACAUGUACACAAAAUGGGUGUAGCGGAGAUGAGGAUGCUUCGUUGGAUGUGUGGGCACACAAGAAAGGAUAAGAUUAGGAAUGAGGAUAUCCGGGGUAAAGUAGGAGUAGCCGAAAUUGAAGGAAAGAUGAGAGAAAAUCGGUUACAGUGGUUUGGACAUGUGCAAAGAAGGCCUAUUGACGCUCCGAUUAGAAGAUGCGACUAUGGGACAGAGGUUCAGGGCCGAAGGGGUAGAGGAAGACCUAGGAAAACUUUGGAAGAGACUCUAAGAAAAGACUUAGAGUACUUGGAUCUAACGGAGGACAUGACACAGGACCGAGCACAAUGGCGUUCAAAGAUUCAUAUAGCCGAUCCCACUCAGUGACUUCGAUUUUCCAAGUCUCCAACCGAGAAGUUUUCCUCACUCGGGAAAUUAAGGGAAUACUACCUCAACCUACAUGCUCCACUCACAAAGCUUUAACAUACAAGCUUCAACAAAAGAAAAUUCAGAGAACUUAGCGAAGAAGGCUUUGGUGUAUUCAACACAAUACGUUGAAAUGAAGGAAAGCUAUUUAUUGAUAUCCCCGAUAAGUCACAAAUAUGUACAUAUACAUGAGUCAAAAUAAACAAACAAGAGGGAGCCUUCACAAAGGUUGCUUAGGAGAAGUCUCAGUAGUCGGUAGAGCCCCAGAAAGAGCAGGCACUGGAGGGGGAUCAUUUGGAGCCUCAGUACUGGACAGAACCCUAGAAGGAGGAGGCAGCAGAGGUUGAUCAUUUGGAGCUUCAUUACGCGGUAUAGCCCCAGAAGACGAAGGCAAUAAAUGCCUUUGGAACAAACCCACAAAUCUCUGAUGAUCAAGUAAAACCUGACCAUCAGAUUCCUUCAUCUGGUCAAGCUUCCUCUUUAUGUUUGUAGCAUAGUCAUGUGCGAGCCGGUACAACUGUUUAUUCUCAUGCUUGAGCCCUCUAAUCUCCUGUUUGAGACUCAUCACUUCAGCCGCCAAUGAUUCAACUUGGCGGGUUCGAGCAAAUAGGCGUUGGGCCAUGUUAGACACAGAACCUGCACACUGAACACUGAGAGCCAGAGAAUCCUUAACAGCCAAUUCAUCAGACCGUUUGGAAAGUAGUCUGUUAUCUUUGGGAGUGAGAAGGUUCCUGGCCACUACCGCAGCGGUCAUAUCAUUCUUCAUCACGGAAUCCCCAACAGUAAGAGGACCAGUAGGGGAGACGAAGGAUGGGCGCCAUAUGUUGUCUGGAGAAGGCGUGGCUGCCUCUUCAACAAGGUUCAAGUCAAAACGACGGUCGGAGGGGCCAUACAUUUUCAAAGGUGUUGAAGAGAGAAGAGGUCGGACAAAUCAAGAUCUUAGAAGUGCAAGAAUGGAGCUUUUACUGGUGGAGAUUCAAGUGUGCUUUGGAACUUAAUGCCAGCCUCUAUAAAAAUCUGCACUCGACGGAGCUUCAGAAAUCGAAGAGGCGUUUGCUUUCUCAAAAGCUGUGCUGCUCAGAGACCACGAGACGUUUGCUUUCUCAAAAGUUGGGCUGCUCAAAGACCACGAAGGCCGAUCUCAGAAAUCGAAGAGGCGCUUGCUUUCUCAAAAGCUGGGCUGCUCAGAGACCACGAUGGCUGAUCUCAGAAAUCGAAGAGGCACCUACUUUUCCAGCCUUGUCAGCACCUGUCAGCUUUGCGGAAAUUAUGGGCAUUAUGUCGAAGAUUUCUGGUGAAGUAGAAAGCACAUGAAUCUUACUGUUCAAUCACCCACUUCCCAUACGCAACAUUAGCUCAUGGGUACCACAGAUAACUUUGCCAAAGUUCUCUGACAAAGUUGAGACACGUGAAGCUUGCAGCUCCCACUACACCGCUCUGACCAAGAAGGGUAAAAGAAUAGCAGAGAAACAGCACUAAUAAAGUUUAGACACAUAAAUUUUGAAGGUCUAGCUACCAUAUUAUUACCCACAAGGGUAAAGGAACAGUACCACUGCUGGAUAAUUGGAAAGUCCCUGUGUGUCAACCUCUGUGCUUCGUGGCAAGAUAGACUAGCAAACAUGCCCAACCUUUUCUUACAUUCGAGAAAACACUCCCAACAAGACUGCUUGUUCCAAAAUCAAAGAGGCACCGCCCUCCGAAUCUCGAGAGCCAGACUCCCAACAUGAUUACUUUCUCAAAAAUCGAAGAGACACCGCUCUCCGAAUCUCGAGAGCCAGACCCCUAGCAGGAUAGCUUUUUCAAAAAUCGAAAAGGCAUCGUUCUCCGAAUCUCGAGAGCCAGAUCUCCGACAGGAUUGCUUGUUCGAAAACCGAAGAGGCACCACUUUCCCAACUUCAAGAGCCGGAUCUCCUUGGAUAAAGUUUGUCUGUAAUCUUUACACGCAACAUCAGCUUUCCAGAUACCACAGACCAUUUUUUCAAAGUGCUCUGACAAAGUUAAAACAUGUGAAGCUGGCAGCUCCCACUACCGUGUUAUGACCAAGCAGGGUAAGGGAAUAGCAUUACUACUUGUUGUUAGGGAGACUCCUAUAUAUGUUGACCUCUAUCCCCAACAGACAGGCAGACCUGCAAAAAUGGUCAACCCUUCCUCAUAUCUGAGAGGGCACUCCCAAAGAAGCCUUUCGAAAUAUUCAGCUUUCUUUCCCCCCGAUAAUACCUCUGCAAACAAGCUAUACUAGGGCAAGAAUAUCUCAUAUCAUCAGGGUUAAAAGCAAGAGUAUCCCAUAUCAUGUUGUUUCCCUGUCUUUUCCUUUGGCCUUGUUCUUACCUACAAGACAAGGAGAAAGAGAGCAAUCAGUCAGCACUUGGAAUCAAGCUUCCAGUCAGGAACUGACUGCCUGGAACCCCUUACUUGAUUACUUACCUGGCAUUGCUCUCGAGUACUCAUCUUCAACAUCUUAUGCUUCCAGGGAAGAUACCGCAUCUGCCUGAGGAACAUAUAGGGCAAGUGAGAAGGAUACAAGGAAGCAUGUGGAGACAAGCGUAACAGCACACGUGCCGAUACAUCCACUACUCUGUCCAAAGCAAAAGUAUCCCAUAUCAACAGGGUCGAACGUACUAUAGAUUUGAUGGACUUGUUUUGACCCUCAAAUUCUUCAGUCGGCCUUAUACUCUGGGGGAAACCAGAAAACCCUCCAGCUCAGUUCAAGAAUAAGCCUGUGGAAAGUUACUUCUUCAAAAGCAAAAGUAUCCCAUAUCAUCUCUUCUCAUUUUUCUUCUCUUUAUCCUUCAUGCUGCCUGCAAGAUAGGGAGAAUGUGAACAAUCAGCCAGAACUCAAAAUCAAAGUUCUGAUCUGGGACUGAUUGCUUGGAGCUAUGAUUGCUUACCUUGUCUGUCACCUCUUUCAACAGAUCCCCUAGCUCGGCGACUUGGAGGACUCCUACUACAUGGUUUGUAUCGCGCUUGACCAAGCCUGAAACUACAAGUAAGUUUCAAGUGAAAUUGAUACAUUAUCUUGUGCAUCUCCACCAGUUAAAGAUACCACCCCUGGAUGGAGGAAGAGUACUUCCAGAGAAGAUGCCACAUCUACCUACGAGACAGAUAAGGCAAGUCAAGACGAUACCACACUCCGGAACUUAGAAGUUUCGUGAUUACGAGAUCAUUCUCCCAUAAUAUUUCCUAAUGUCAUUUGUACUAAAUCAUUCACUUGUACUCACUAAAAGAGAGCUUGAACCUAUGUACUUGUGUAAACCCUUCACAAUUAAUGAGAACUCCUCUAUUUCAUGGACGUAGCCAAUAUGGGUGAACCACGUACAUCUGGUGUUUGCUUUCCUAUCUCUAUCCAUUUAUAUAUUUAUCCACACUAAUGAUCGGAGUAAUCUAGCGACGAUCACAAAAAGCGACCGUUUUCGCUACCUAAGAUCUAUCUUGCAAGAGAACGGAGAAUUAGAUUGAGAUCUCAACCAUAGAAUACAAGCUGGAUGGAUGAAGUGUAAGAGUGCAUCCGGCGUGUUGUGUGAUCGUCGUAGGUCACUGAAGCUCAAGGGAAAAUUUUAUAGGACGGCAAUAAGGCCAGCGAUGUUGUAUGGCACAGAAUGUUGGGCGGUGAAGCAUCAACACGUACACAAAAUGGGUGUAGCGGAGAUAAGGAUGCUUCGUGGGAUGCUUCGUGGGAUGUGUGGGCACACGAGAAAGGAGAAGAUUGUGAAUGAGGAUAUCCGAGGUAAAGUAGGAGUAGCCGAAGUUGAAGGAAAGAUGAGAGAAAAUCAGUUACGGUGGUUUGGACAUGUGCAAAGAAGGCCUACUGACGCUCCGGUUCGAAGAUGUGACUACGGAACAGAGGUUCGGGGCCGAAGGGGUAGAGGAAGACCUAGGAAAACUUUGGAAGAGACCCUAAGAAAAGACUUAGAGUACUUGGAUCUAACGGAGGACAUGACACAAAACCGAGCGCAAUGGCGUUCUAGGAUUCAUAUAGCCGACCCCACUUAGUGGGAAAAGGCUUUGUUGUUGUUGUUGUUGGACUUUUUAUGUGCUUAGGGGCAAUUAUUGUGACGUUUCCGUCUUCGCUAGUGGCGCAGCUUUUAGCAACUAAGUACUGUGAGUGGACCCCUUCUAAAAUUACAUGAUUUUAUAGUAAAUGCAUAAAUGAUUAGCAUGCCUACAAAUUUAUGAAUUGAUUUAUGUUAAGCCUGUUUAUGAAAUUUAUUGAUUUCGUCUCGUGUUUUGGUGAGGAAAUGAAUUGUUAGCCUAGUUUGUGCUAUAUUUUAAUAUAUCUUAUUUUCUAUAAAAACCAUGAACUGGUAGACUAUCCGAUGGAUGACGAUAGGAUGCUAGAACAUGUUUUAGAAACCCCUCUUUAUAGUAUAGACAAUGGAUGACUUUAUACUAUGAAGUGGUUAUUUAUGAGAGGCGUAAAUAUUUGUGCGUACCUAGUAGACACUAUGCCGCCUGGGGCGAGGAUCUGGUGUUGGCAUGUAGGCCGGGAGAAAUAAUCCCUAACGAAAGGCUGAGGGACACGGAGACAUGGGCCGGGAGGGAGUUAUCUCUGGCUACGGGCACAGAGACUGAGGUGCAGGCAUUGGGCUGAGAGUUAUAUUUAUUCGGUGAUCUUUCUAGCAGCACACCGCGUUUACGAGACGAUUUAUGAUACGUUUAUUGUUUUGAUUUCCUCGAUGCGUUUCCGCGAUAUGACUUUUGACAUAUUUGGCAUGCUAGGAUUUUUAUUAAAUCCAUCACUUACUAUGCUAGUAGUUUUCACUAUUUAAACUUUGGGGGUUAGUAUGUUGAUAACUGUUUUAUUAUUAUUGUAUAUAUAAACUUGGUCCACUCACUUUUGUUUUGCGCCCCCAUUCAGGUCAUAGAAAUGAGGACUACGACUUGACGUACGAGGCAUUCCCCUACCAAUAGCACUCUAUCACUCACUUGUGUGAUAUCUUGUAAUGCUCUUUCUUUUUUGUAAAUCUUGGUUUAGUUUGUGUCUGGUUCAUUCUAGAUACUUCCUUGAACUUUGUUAAUUAUUCUUAAAUUCUGAUGUUAUUCAUGAAUAUUUUCUUCUAAUCAUUACUCUUAUAAUCAAUUAAUGGCUUUCGUCACACUCAGGUGUCGGCCAGUACGUGCCUAUCCUGAUAUUCGAGGAAUAUCAGGGUCGGGGCGUGUCAGAUUGGUAUCAGAGCCAGGUUUGUUCAGAGCAUACUUAGGAUUCUCUUCUAUUCUCAUAAAGUCUUGGUUUUGACAUCAUUUGGAUGUCACGAUUUCUGGAUUUUGUGCCAGUCGGUGCAGUUGUGCAAACCUUUCUCUGUUUGAAUUGUCAUCUUCUGGUUGAAAUACAAGAAUUCGUGUCGGGAUUGUGCCUCAUCGAUGACGUGUUUGAUUUGUUGGACGACUUUAAACAUCAGAUCGAUACUCAGCGACAUGUUUUAGAAAUCUCAAUUUGAGGAAUUUUGGUUAAGACCAGCCGUAGAUUCGAAAUGGCGAUGCCACUCUGCAACAUGCGUUCCCUAGGAAUUGCAGGCGAAAUCGGCUCUACAUCGAAAUCUUUGGAAACUCCUCAGUAGUAAACACUAUUCUCAUCAAUUUCCAAAUUGAGUUGCAAUUCUUGUUGUUGUUGUAGUUGGAUUUGGAUGAUGAAUAUCCAGCCUUGUUUGGAUAAACAGAUUCCUUGAAUUUCACCUGGGUCUGGUACUCGACGGAAAACCCUAGUUCCUUGUCCGCGAGUUUUUCAGGGAAGGUGAACUUAGUCCCUUGCUUGCAGCCUAGCUGUUCAGCUUUGUAAUUUUCAGUGUAAUGGCUUGAGACUUUAUCAUAUUCAUCAUUAUAUGAAGAUCGAGCUUUACUCUGAACUUCUCUGGACUCAUUGAGCUUUGGUUUACUCAAUGGGCAAAUCAAUUUUAAGGUAGCCAAUCGUGCCACUGCAUGCAUACGCAGGUUGUUUUGUAUCUUCCUUCUUCGCUAUUCUGCUGAUUCAGAGAUUCUACAUUUAAUUUUUGAACUUUGAAACAGCUCUCACAAAGUGUUGUAUUUCAAAAUUGUCUUACACGUCAAAUCUUAUUAUCAGUUCUUAAUAUUCUUGAGUCUAGACCUAUUUCCUUUGGUAGAAACAGUUGACCAUACUGUGAUGAUUUGCAAAAUAAUCAUAAAGUGAAUUUGUAUUUCUGCAUCUUUAUCUUCCUUCGUUGUGGUUUCUCAAUGUAAAUUGAAUCAUGCCAGAACAUAUAUGGAGGUUUUGUAGCGUGGUUUUGUUCACAUCCUGAUUUUCUUAAUCUAUCUUUUAUGGAAUUGUUUGACUCUUCAGAAUUCUUGAGAUUGUUCAGCCUUUCCGACUGUUCUCGCGUCAAUAGUUGAGAAUUCACGAUUGAUGGAUUCGACGAAGUGUGCGCCCAAUUCCUUAUCGAUUCGGACAUAAGUUGGGAGCAUAAUCUUUUACAAACUUACCAGACUACCAGAAGAAUCCAAUGUGGGUAAUGAGGUUUAAGUUGUAUUUUUAGAGACGGUGAAGACUUGUGGUACAAGAGGUCAGCAAUUGUAUCACUCUUACAAGAAUUCAUAGGCUCACAUCGUUAUUUUCAACGAUUAUGUGUUCGUCUCGCGAUAUUUCCACGCUUUACUUUCAACCUUAUUGUUGAGUACAUAUCUUUGUUAAACAGUUCUAGCGAUCUGUUUGGUGCAUUCUGGAUAUCUACAGGAAUCGGUUUGAAGCGAGAAUUGGAUAAUCCCUUUACAUUUUCCGAAAUGUGCAUGUUCUCUUUGUUUGUUACGGAUGACCUAUUUUGAGAGUCGUUCUUCUUUCCACCAAUUUUGAUCUGUUUUGACUAAGAAAUCUGGCAACUCAAGCAAAAUUGGAGAUUGUUUAAGCACACGAGCAGUUCCUUAAGAGAUCUGGCUGUUAGAAGAUGAUUCUUCGGAACUUGCUUGCUUUGGUUCGACUUUGGCUCUUACUACAUGGUGCCACUUCUUCUUGAAUCCCAAGUACGAGUCUCUCAGAAUUGGGUUAUUAUUGGCAAAAUCGAUUUAUUACAUUAUGGAAGACGCUAAGGAUUGAGCUUGGGCUGAUAAUUUUUACGACAGCAGUUUCUGUUUUUUUGGUUGGUAUGGCACUGUUUGCCGGUGUAACCGAAUUUCUCCAGGUACUUGGGUUUGUUCAGAAGUUGUGCGAGCGUUGUAUUAUUUUCAAUUAACGACGUGUAAAAUUUGCAUCCUCAGAUAAAUUUGCUGUUAUAGGGCAUUUGUGUGAAUGAUAUCACCCGGCUCCUUUGUUGAAUAUCGAUAGCUUUAUUUGUGGAUUAAAGCAGUGGUGGAAUCGUCUAAGUAGCUGACGCAGAUCUCAGAAUGUUAUUCUUGGUUUCCCAAAGAUACAUUUGUAUUCUCGAAGUGGGUGACAUUUCGAAUCCUUGGGUGGACCUCCUCAUUCUUCCAAGUUUGAUUUUAGUAUAAAGUAUUGAACUAUUUACUCAGUUUUGUUUGACAACAAAUGUUGAAAAGUAUUUCUGUUUUUUCAUUUUUAAGUUGAUCGAGUUUUUGGAAAUAUGUUUAGUACAAUCAUUUCGUUAUUCCUUAAAUGUGUUCACUUAAUCAUUAAGAUGUUUUCCAAUUUUCCCUGAGGGGAAAAAAAUUUUGAGCCUGGAGGCAUGAAAAAGAAUCAUUCAAACCCCAUCGCGAGGCAUGCCAAUUCUCUUUUGUAGCAACGUUCGGGAUUUCUUCGAAACGUAGUUAUAAAUGUGUAUCUUUCGUAUUUUCCGAGUUUUUCAGUUCCUGUUAUUUUAAUGGAGCUUUUUUAAAAGGGUGGUAAUUGAAACAUCAACCCAUUGAUUUUUGUUUAAAGCUAAUGGUGAGCCGUGGGGCACUUGUUUAUUUUUUUAGUGUUUUCCCGGUCUCCCUCUCUCCUAUCAAGUUUUCUUUCUUCCUCUUUCUUCUUCCGCUUUCCGUAUACCCCUGUCAUCUUUUCUGUCCUUUCCUAUCACAUGAACACCACCACAUAAUCACCUGACUUUCUACUAGACAAUCUCAAUCAGCACUGCUCAGUUACUAAUGACGAGAUUGUGAAGCAAUGGAACGAGAGCUUCGUAUUCUCAGAUCUUGCGGUUAUUAUCUUCCUUCGCCGUCGAGAAUCAAACUUUAGUUUUGUAACACAUUUCCUCAAUUGAAACGUUAUACUUCUCUUACCAUUUCUGGCGACCUAGUGAAAGAGGCAUUUUUCGGCAAACUGGAGGUGGACGACUAGUGAAGGAACUGUCUCUUAGGGCUACACUUUCGGUCUCGCUUAUUUGUAGUAUACAAGUUAAGCCGUUUUGUGUUUUUUCGAUGAUCUCGGAAUUUUCGCAACUGUUGCGGAAACCCAGCUUAAAGCUGAAUAUCUUAGAAAACCCACCACAUCUUCAAUGUUGUAUGCCAAUCCGGAAUGGUAACAUAGCAAUUUCUGCAGUUUGUGUGUGUUGGUUUUGUACUAGCACGCAGUAGUUAUUUGGUGUUUUGGGUUGACACCCAAAAAUUGUACAACCCUUUUAAGAAAAACUUGCCAAUCCCAAAUACCUAAUCACACUACAUAUGAUUCGAAACCGCAGAUUUUACCAUGAUCGUUCACGUUGACUUUACAGGGGGACCGAUUUCUCCGGAUUCUAAUUUGUAGAACUUAUUUUUGAACAUUGCAUUAAAGAUCAAUGAUGUGCUGGGAACAUAGAAGAUUCGCUCUAUAGUUUACCUAAUAGUAGUAUUCUAAAUUCAUGAUUUAUGUAAAUUGAUAAAUCUUAGCAUGCUACAAAUUUUCAUUAUUUAUGAAAGCCUGUUUAGAAUUUAAAUAUUUUUGUGUUUUCUAAACUUAAUUUUUAGCCUAUUUUGGAUUUUUAAUUAAGUAUUUUCUAUAUUUCAUGACUGGUAGUUAUGUGACUAGAUGUAGAAUGUUUUAGAAACGAUCCCUCUUUAUAUAAUAGAGAUAUGAUUUAUUUGGUGGAAUUAUGUAGACGUAAAUAUUUUGACUUUAUCUGCCUUAAGGAUCUGGUGUUGGCAUAGGCGCGUUAAUUGAAUAACAAAAGGCAUUGGCCUAUCUUGACCCACGGACAGAGAAAGGUGAGCAUGGAGGGAUUAAAGAUGGGAUCUUUUGCAACAACGCAGAGCGACGGAUCUUCCGGAUUGGAUGCAUUUUUCUUUUGAGAUACCAUGCUAUUUUUUCUCUCUUACAUGUUCUAGUAGUUUCAUAUUUGCUUGGGGUAUUUUGAUCGCAGAUUAUUGUAUAUAUAAGGUAUAAUUUGGUUUUGCGCCCUAUCAGGGAACGAACUAAAUUUGUUCCCUAAUUCACCUAAGAUUGUGUGAUUCGAAACCCCAAAUCUUUAUAUUUGUGUUGUUUUUAAAGCCUUACUUAGGUUAUACUCUAAAUGGAGGAGCAAAAUAACAACAACUCUUUUAUUUUUUUUUUGAGAUUCACCUUAUCAACUACUUCUACCAAUCAUCCCAAGUUUUCUUUUAUCAUUAUCCUUUUUCCCUUUGUAGUUACCCCUGUCAUCUUAUCUUGUCACUUUUUCUUAUCUACCUAUUGAUCAACCACCCACGAUUAAUCACCAUGUUGCACAUUUGUCGAUACCACUUCAUUAAACAUUAAUCAUCAAUUCUAAGUUAUUGCAUCUAGUUCUUCAUAAUUCCUAGUAACGCUCAGCCGAAGAAUUGGCUCGAAGCAGAGAAAAAAAAGUGACAAAAUCUGGCCAUAAAAGAAAACUAUCCCUAAACCAAAGUGGGCUGGGCAAUGGAAAAAACAAAAUAAAAUAAAAUUUGAAAUUGGGGCUAACAGUGGGCUGGCUGGCUGAAAGGUGGCCAGUCGGUGGCCCUUUCAGAUUCUGUGGGGGCCCACGAGCCUUUAGCCUAACCUCUUGGUUGGAGAUGAUUUUCGGUAUUUUUUCGACUUCUAAGCCCUUUUGACCAUUCGUUGGAGAUGGGCCUAAGGUUUGCUUUAGUGAGGCACGUCGGGGAGUAAGUGUUGAGAAUAAAGUCUCACAUCCGUGAGAUGAGGGACUUUACAUACAGCUUAUAAGAGGUUUGAGCUACCUUUUCCAUAUUGCCAAAUUGGUUUUAUGAUGAACCCCAACUUUUCUUCAGCGUAUCAGAGUAACGGAUUGUCUCACUUAUGAAGCCAAAGAACGGCCACUGUGUGUCACGUUACCCAUGUUGUGUUGUCCACAGUAUGUUGCCGAAUGAGAUCACCAUUGAUGGACAAGGAGGGACCUUCCAAUCUCUAAAACAUUGCAAGAUAAGAUUUGAUACAUAAAUGGAUUUCGGAUUUAAUCUAUUUAAUGAGAUAAUGAGACAAAGACACAAUAAUCAGAAUCGUACUAAACUUUUCGUGGUUUUUCAUUGGUUUAUUGUUUAAAAAAAUCAAUUCGCAAAGAAGAGAUAUUUUACCUAUUUCUUUUGGUAAAUUUGUAGAAGUAGAAAUAUGAUUGAAGUGAAUCGUCAAUGUUUUUACCGUUUGAAGAAAGGAAUAUUAAAGGCUGCAAAUGUCCUGUGUAGCGGAGGAUCUAAAGAUAUUGGAAGGGUGCCUUCUUGCCCAAGAGAAAAAUCACUACGAGCUUAAAACGAGGAGUUGACAAAGCAACUUGGAGGCAUUUCUAAACGAGCCCUAUGGCCCUUUGGCCCUCGGUUGGUGACGGAAGCAAAUAUGACUCUGUACUGUUCAUUAAAUUAUUAAUAUCUUGGAGGGUCAGAGGGCUAAAAUGAGCCAUCUGGCCAGCCCUUGGUUAGAGAUGGCCUUACCAUCUCCAAUUGAGGGCCAAAGGGCCAUAAAGCUUGUUUUAGCACUGUCACAAAAAACUGUCUCCAACCGAGAGCCACAAGGCUAUAGUAUGGAAUGUGAAGAAUUGAGAUAAAAUGAGGUAAUAUAGUAUAAAAUAGUGAAAAAUAUGUGAGAAAUUGUGUAGGAAAAAAAUUAGAAAUAAAAAAAAAAAAAAAAAAAAAAAAAGGGCUGUUGGGCAUAAAAACAAAAAGUGGGUUGGGACUGGGACCAUAAAAAAAAAAACUAAGCCCUAAACCCUAAAGUGGGCUGGGCAAUGGAAAAGAACAAAAUAAAAUAAAAUUUGAAAUUGGGCUAACCAGUGGGCUGGCUGGCUGAAAGUGGCCAGUCGGUUGGCCCUUUCAGAUUCUGUGGGGCCCACGAGCCCUUUAGCCUAACCUUUGGUUGGAGAUGAUUUUCGGGUAUUUUUCGACCUUCUAGCCCUUUUGACCAUUCGAUUGGAGAUGGCCUAAGGUUGCUUAGUGAGCACUCGGGGAGUAAGUGUUGAGAAUAAGUCUCACAUCGAUGAGAUGAGGGACUUUACAUAAGCUUAUAAGAGGUUGAGCUACUUUUCAUAUUGCCAAUUGGUUUUAUGAUGAACCCCAACUUUCUUCAUGGUAUCAGAGUAGGUUGUCUCACUUAUGAAGCCAAACGGCCACAUGUGUGUCACGUUACCAUGUUGUGUUGUCCACGUAUGUUGAGAAUGAGUCACACAUUGAUGGAAGGAGGGACCUUCCAAUCUCUAAACAUUGAAGAUAAGAUUUGAUACCAUAAAUGGAUUUCGGAUUUAAUCUAUUUAAUGAGAUAAUGAGACAAAGACACAAUAAUCAGAUCGUACUAAACUUUUUCGUGGUUUCAUUGGUUUAUUGUUAAAAAAUCCAAUUCGCAAAGAAGAGAUAUUUUUACCUAUUUCUUUUGGUAUAAUUUGUAGAAGUAGAAUAUGAUUGAAGUGAAUCGUAAAUGUUUUACCGUUUGAAGAAAGGAAAUUAAGGCUGCAAAUGUCUGUGUAGCGGAGGAUCUAAAGAUAUUGGAAGGGUGCCUUCUUGCCCAAGAGAAAAUCACUACGAGCUUAAAACGAGGAGUUGACAAAGGCAACUUGGAGGCAUUCCCAAUUCUAACCUGUAUUUUCGAGCUGCGGGAGUCCGUUCAAGCCUUGCAGCUAGUCCUAAGUUCGUCGGGUAGAUAAUGAAGUGGCAGAUGUUGUUGCAUCACAACAAGGAGCGGAGAUGAGUGAUUUUUUUUCUGUUGUUAGACCCCCAUCUUCGUUUGUCAGGAUCUUGAACAAGAGGGGCUUGUCAUAUCCACUAGUUGAAGUGAGUGAGAAGUGUGAGGGGAUGAUGUUUGGCCUAUCUGUAGAGCGGCUUUCUUAUUUCCAUAUCCUUCUUUCUAUCAUGUUUAUUUAUUUGUCAGCCUUCAAUUUGAUUUUCUGUAUUUCAGUUGUUUUUCCUCUGUAAAUGAAUUCCAGUUUUACCAAAGAAAAAAAAGCACUCAGGAGCAAGUUACUACUAGGCUGAUAAACUGACGGCAUUUUGUGGGGGUGCAACUUUGGGGCAAAAGAUUCGCGUGCUUUUAUAUGCUUCAGACUAUUUUUCUUGCUUCCCAGGAUUUUGUGUGUGUAUUUUUGUUUUAGGGUAUAGGAAUUAGGGUUUUUUUUUUUUUUUUAGGUUAAUUGAAUGUGAAGUGACAAUUGAAAUGCAAACCCCAUAUUCGUGGAGAUAAGAUGCGACAUCCAAUAAAAAGUUUUUUUUUUUCUUUUUUGAACAAACGAUUAUAUUUUAAGUUUACUAAGGGUAUGUAUGCUUCUGAUUUUCCUUCUAUUUUUUAAUUAUUUUAUUUUAUUUUGGGGAAGAGAUUGUUAGACUAAGCAAGUUUAUAUUAAAAUCAGAGUACACCUAUUUUUUGAUAUAUUUUUUUUUGUAUUUGAACAAUGGAUGUUAUCGUCUGCACCUUGAUAUUAUGAUAUGAUGUUAUUCCGUUUUUGUUUAUUGAUAUUUCACAUUAAUGGUACUAUAAACAUACAGAUAAACGAGAAAACAAAAACAAGUCUAUUUUAAAUCCGAUCUUUAUCCGAAAUAUAGCCAACAAUUUAUCAAAACCACUUAAAUACUAUCUCCGUAGCCUCCGAAUAGUCAUGAAACUCACUAGAAUUGAAUUUAACACUUCUCACUUAUAAGUGGAGAAGAAUGUCAGUUAACGAUCUUUAAGUUUUUUAGAUUAUCUAAGUAAAUGUUUUUUUUUAUUAAUGAAUAAUGGCGUAAGCAUUUAGCUUUAAGUCAACGACCAUUACGCUAUUUUCUGCUUUGUUUUUUGGCAAAACGGUUCUCUCUUUGCUUGAUUGUGUUUGGUGAAGGAAUCUCUUUGUUUCAUACAGAUUAAGAGCAGGUUAAUACAGAUUAACCAUGAUUAAUCAUCAUCCACAGCAGGAAAUCAAUGGCAGGUUUGUUUGACAAGCAAGCUGAUUUGUACUUGGAUUCGAGGCCAACUUAUCCCAAAGAAUGGUAUUCCAAAUUGGCAGAUCUCACUCCUCAUCUCUCUCUCGCUUGGGAUGUCGGAACCGGCAACGGCCAAGCCGCUAUCGGCGUUAGUAUCACGAUACUACCCCUCUUUCCCUUCUCACUUUGCUGCAUUUCUUUGAAUUCAGUUGAAAUUAUUUACUUUACAAUACAAAUUACAAUACACGCAAGUUAGUUUAUUUUUUCUCUUAAACUAAGACUUUCACAUAGACGUGAGUCAAGAAAGUUGAUCACGUUAGUAUGAUGGUGCCUUUGCACGGAAGUUUGAAUAGCAUAUUAGAAUAAUUUUGAAUAUCGUUUUGUCAGCUCCAUAGUUUCAUAAUAUACAUAUUGGUUGCAUCCCUGCUUUUCUAUGCUGCAUAGACUACUUGUAUGCAGCGAUUGAGACCGAAAAUAUAUAGAUAAUUGACUAUUGCACCCAAAUCUUUGAUUUUCAAAGGAUUAAUAUACAUAUAUAGAAUCAAAACAAAUGAUACUGAGAUUCGCCAGGAGGAUACAUCUCAAAUCGCAAAAGGACGUUUCGAAACCACUUAAGUUUUAGGUGGUGUAUUCAAUUGGGAUUUUGAGGGAAUUUAAUUCUUUUAAUGAAUCUAGGGGUAUUCAAUCUGGAUUUUAAGUGAUUCUCUGAAAUUCAAUGUGUAUUCAAUCAUUCAAUCAGGAUUUUAAGAUAGUUUAUUAAAAUCCUUAGAAAUCCAGGUGUAUUCAAUUAGAAUUUGAAAGAAGUUCAUAACAUUUUAGGUGUAUUCAAUUAGAAUUAGAAUUUAAAGAAUUUGGAAAAGUUGAGGAAUUAGAGGGAAUUGGAGAGAUUUUGUUGUGUAUUUUAAGCAUCCACAAAUCUCACAUCUCCCCAUGAGAUUUCGAGGGAAUUAAAUCAAAAUUUUAUAUGGAAUCUCUACAAAUCAGUUAAACUCCAUAAAAAUCCAUGAAUAUAUAAAUUCAUUAAAAUCUCUCAAAUUCCCAAUUGAAUACACCCUCCUAGAUUAUAGUCUAACGCAUUUCACACAAGUAUAGAUCAUGUUGACUGUUGCUAAAUGUUACCACAACGAUUGUGCACGUUAAGUUUGACAAGAGAACAUUCAUUGCUCUAAUAUGUAGACUGUAUGUUUUAAUAAAAAGGUUGCUGAGCACUAUAAACAAGUGAUUGGAACCGAUGUGACUGAAUCCCAGCUGCAGCGUGCAAUGCCACAUCCUCUUGUUCGAUAUGCCCACACGCCGUUAACCAUGACAGAAGACGAAUUAAUAGCCUUGAUCGGGGGAGAAAGUUCAGUGGACUUGGUGACUGUGGCUCAAGCUGUGCACUGGUUCGACCUACCAAAGUUUUAGUCUUGUUUCGCGGCUUCUGAAGCCAGGAGGCGUGUUGGCGGUUUGGUGCUACAAUCACAUCGAAGUUUUUCCUGAAUUUGAACCUAUUGUGAAGCGACUUGAAGAUACAACCCUUCCCUAUCAUCAUUGUAACAUUCAGUACGUGUUUGAUGGUUACAAGACGCUUCCUUUUCCUUUUUAGAGCGCUGGUUUCGGAUGCGAGGGGAGUCCAUUGGCGCUGGACAUUCCAAAGAAGUUGUCUUUCGAAGGGUUUUUGAAGAUUGUACGGUCAUGGUCUGCAGUUAAUACAGCCAAAGAACAAGGCGUGGAUUUGUUGCCCGAAAAGCUGGUUAAAGAGUUUGAGGUUGCUUGGGGCGGCACCAAAUUAGUCAGGUCUGUCAGCUACAAGGCUUUUAUGCUCGCCGGAAAUGUUAAGGUGUGAUCUUGUUGGGAGGGUGUGCGGAUCAUUUCCUCCUACAAACAAAUAUUACUUUGACGUUUUUAUUGAAAUUUCUUCUUGUGUUUCUUAUGAGUCAAUAUAUGUAUCAGCUUGUGAUUUGCAUACUAUAGUGUAUAUUUAUAUAGACUUGUGAGAACUGACUUGAAUCUCAAUUCAGAAAAUAAACACAAGAAAUUUUUUAGCUUUCGCACUCUACCUCUUUCCUCUUUCACCUAUUUAAUGUGUGAAAUUCGUCUCAACCAUUGAUGAGUUCAACUCUUUAAAUACAUGUGACAUAUAUCAACAGUUAAUCAUCAUUUACAUGUGCAAUUUUUCUUACCAUAAUAUUUUGUUUUUUAGUCUCUCUGACGUAGCAUGAAGCUAAGGAUUACAAGUGUAAUCCCUGUAGAACCAAAAAUUUCUGGAAUCCACCAGUUUGGAGAGAAAUCCCAAAGGAUGAUUUGAUUAAUUGAUGAUUGAUGAUUACAUUGAAGCAUCCAUGGACUUAAAUAAAUGGACUACAACUCCCUGAGAAAACUUAAAUGGCUUAGGUAAUUUAAACGAAAGCAAACGACAUUAACUAGACAUAAAUCGAGGUUCGGUUUUUAUUACAUAAUCUCAAAUGCUGUUUUCGAAGCCUAAACGGUCUCGCAUGGCUAAAAUUCACCAUGUUUUACUGCAAAGCUGUGAGUUGGAACCACGGCGUUGUUCCCUUCUCAAGAAGGUAUCAUGGCUCAAUUCAGAGCUUGGAUGCCAAAUCUGCAAAUUUAUGCUUCAUCCCUUUGUCUUUGGUUAGUCAAUUUCCUCUUCAAUUCACUCGAUCAUUUGUUCUACAUCACUCUCUCUUUGUUCUUAAAGAAUUGGCAAAAACUUCAAUAAUGAAUCAUGCCUCUACAACUACAACCCCAAAGGACAAAGCAUCAAAUUCUAUUUACCCAGUGAGGGCUCCUUCCCUCUCCGAUCUAGGUCAACAAAAUCAUAACUUUAUCACCUAACGGUGGACCAAGUUUUGUGAUUUAUACUUUGAUUAAUAAAUAAUUUACGUAGUAAACAAUGGCAUGCAUUUGUUUAAGAGUUUCGCUUUCGUUAAGUCUUUGUCACAUUUAAUUGACGGACAUUCUAAUAUAUGAAGUUUGGGAAAAGACAUGUUGCCUCUUGUUAUAAUCCUCGAUGUAGAUGUGGAAAAUAAAUAUUUUGUUCUUCAUGAACAUUAUAUCAUUAUUUUUUACUAUUAAAUCCCAUGUGCCGUAUCAAUUUGUAGUUCUAAGUCGUUAAUUUAUGUGACCUUCAUUAUAAAAAAUUCAUAUGAACUACAUUUGACAGUUAUUUAUACAGACAUGAACGAUUCCCAUUAGCAUUUAACUUUCAUUAAGUGAAAAGAUAUGUUGCCCUAUUAUUAUGAUAAUUGAUGAUAAAUGCAAAAAGAAAAUUACAAAUAAAAUCCUUUACACGGACAUUAAUCCAACGUAUAUGGUUAGGCUAUGCAUAGAAGAAACAAACAAAUACAAGAAAUUGAAUUAAUGUGUAUGCAUAAAAGAAGCUUCCUUGUGUGCCACUGCCAUGUGCGGGAGUGGAAGAGGGAGAAGAACUCUUCGAAUCGGCCUCUACUCUUGUGAACACUUCCAUGGCACUCACUAUCAGAGGUAGGGUGGACCCACUGGCCAACGCCAUUGUCACGUUAAUUAUGGGACCCACAACGGUCACAGUAUACAAAAUGAUUACUUUGCAUUCUUCAAAUUUAAGUGUUGCCGUAGACUUUUUCUGACCGUUGAUGUAGAUGUUGAUGAUCCAUGGUAUCAUUUGGUUUGGGCAAGGUUGCCGUUUCGGCGAAGUAGAGCACUAUGUAAGCCGAUUGUGGGGUCGAGUGGGGGAGAUGAUUGGAUCAGAAGGUUUCAGUGAUUGGAUGGAGUCGAGAAGCACCGGAAUAGGAGGGUCGUUCUCUAUUAAAAGGAGGGGAGUGGCUACGGUAGGGACUUGGACGCAGUUUGGUGCGGUUGUACCUUUCCUCACUCAAUGGUUCUGCGUACCUGCAUUGAUUUAGCAUUUUGUGUCCAUUGUCAAUCAAAAUCCAACUCAUUUCUACAAUAAUCGAGGAGAGACUUUGGGUACGGAAGCCCGUACAACGUCAUUUGUUCGCGAAAGACACGGUCGAAUGUUAGAAUUUAUUGUUGAUAUAUUAUGAAUCUCACAUGAAUUAACAAUACACAUACAAGAUUUUGUAUCUAAUUUUUCAUGUCAAAAUUUAAUGAGCAUAUGAUUAGGGUAAGGGCAUAAACAACUAUAUAUAAUAUAGGAAGCCUUUAAGGGAAGUGUUUGGACCCGAUUUUACAAUAUCUUCCCGAGCAAUCGAGGCCGUUGAGUGAGCAUGUUUCUAGACCAUCGGAUAAGAAAGUUAAGAUAAUUUUGUUGUUGUUAAGAGAUAAUAUUAUGGUUUUAAUCAUAAUAAUUAUCUUUUAAUAAAUUAUCUUGAUUUUCUCGUACAAGAUAAAUGGAAUACAAAACAAGUCUACGAGAGAUUCACGUUUGUUGAUGCACAAAACCGGAUGGUCUUGAAACAACGUAAAUCCGACCGUGAAUCUGCAAGAAAUGUAAAUGACAUAAGAUGUAUCGUGGUUCACCCUAAGGUUUGGGCUACGUCCACACUGAUUGUAUUUAUUUGAGGGAGAGAGAGAGCUCUGAGAGUGAGAGCAUUGAGAGGGGGUGAGAAGAGCCUUAGGAAUUGGUCUCCCCCAAUUGUGAGGGUGAGGGGUCCUUUUAUAGAAUAAGGACUCCUCACUUAUUACAUAUUUUCCCCUUCCUUUAUUACAUAAUCACAUUUAAGUCCCUCGAGUAUUUAUAUGAGGUCUAAAUACGAGACCCUAAAUAUGGUAUAAACAGUAGUCCCCAAAGUCUUCAGUCAAUUGAGUCUUUUGGCUGGAGACUUGAAAUUCAGUCCAUGUGUGGGUCGAAGUAACUAGAUGUUGUCUUGAACUGAUGCUCGAUAUGAGGCAGUGCUCAAUCUGAAAUGACGCUCAACUAGAAGUAGCAUACGCUGCAAGGCUGCUCGGCUCGUGGCUUAUGUUGCCUUGGUUGGCUCGGCUAAGGUGAGGGAGUCCCUUUUAUAGAAUAAGGGCUCGCUCCUCAAUACAUGAAUGAUGGGCUAGAGUUGAUGCUCUCUAAUGGUGGUGAGGGAGUCCCUUUUAUAGAAUAAGGGCUCGUUCCUCAAUACAUAAGUGAUGGGUUAGGAGUGAUGCUCGCGGCGAGGCGGUUGCUCAGCUGGCGGAGUUGCUCUCUAAUGAUGGUGGGGGAGUCCUUUUUAUAAAAUAAAGGAUCGCUCCUCAGUACAUGAAUAAUGGGUGCUCUCUAAUGAAAGUGAGGGAGUCCCUUUUAUAGAAUAAGGGCUCGCUCCUCAAUACAUAAGUAAUGGGCUAAGUCCCCCAAGUAUUUUUCAUGAGGCCCAGUUGAGGCCCAAUAUAUGGUACAUAAUGUAGUCCACCAAGUCUUCGGUCAAUAGAGUCUGUUGCUGGAGACUUCAAAUUGAAUCCGUGUAUGGGCCGAAGUGGUGGUUUUUCGGAUGUGGUAUUUGUAUACCCUGCACUGAAGCUUUGUAGGUGAAGCUUUGCAAGUGAAGCUUUGAAGCUAGAGCUCUGUAAAUGAAGCUUUUCGAAGCUAGAGCUUUUGUAAAUGAAGCUUUUAAAGCUGUAGCUUUGUAAAUGAAGCUUUUGAAGCUAGAGCUUUGUAAAUGAAGCUUUGGAAGCUAGAGCUUUUGUAAAUGAAGCUUUUGAAGCUAGAGCUCUGUAAAUAAGCUUUUGAAACUGUUUGACAUGAGUGAUGCUCAUGAAUGUUUAUGACAUGAGUGAUGCUUAUGGAUGUUGUCAUGAAUGAUGCUCAUGAAUGUUAACAUUAGUGAUGCUUAUGGAUGUUGUCAUGAGUGAUGCUCAUGAAUGUUAACAUUAGUGAUGCUCAUGAAUGUUGACAUGAAUGAUGGUCAUGAAUGUUUAUGUAUGAUUGUCAUGAGUGAUGCUCAUGAAUGCUUAUGUAUAAAUGACAUGAGUAAUGCUCAUGUAUAAUUUGGAGUACUGGGCGUACUUUUGAUCACCUGGUUGGUGGCAUGAAGGAGAGUACGGGUUGUACAUUUCAUCACCUGGUUGGUGGUAAUAGCGGCAGGUUACCGAAUAAUUAUGGAGUACUGGGCGUACUUUUGGUCACCGGGUUGGUGAUAAUAAAAGGUUUGGCUCUUUUGAGCAUAUGGGCCUUCGCCCUCCACAUGACAUUGCAGCCCAUUAUUUUGGGCUUGCAGUCCAUUAUUUGGGCUUUUUUUUUAUUUACCUUCUGAUGGGGUUUAUACAUAUUACCCUAUGAUGGGAUUUAUACAGAUGUUUCUGAAAGAUAAAAUAAAUUACAUCAUUCUGGUUGGGUGUUUAUUCUUUGUUUUUGCAGUGUCCUCAUGUGCCUCUCUUCUUCUUUUCUCUUUUGCAGAUGGCAGACAAGGAAUGAUAAGUACAUUAAUCUUAUCUCCGCUUUUGCACGAUUCCUCAUGAUCACAGCCUCCACCACCUCUCCAUACUUCCUGAAAUAUUCCUUGAGCCGUUUCUUAUCUGUGUCCCAGGGAAUCCCUUUUUUUUCUUUUUCUUUUCCUUUACCCUGAUCUCUCCGCCUCCAGACACACUCACUUGCUUUUGCUUUUACUUUCCCAUUGCACCUCUAUUGUAGGCCCAUGCUCUUCCCCUAAAUCCUAAUUUUACUGUUGCUCUUUUACCUAGUAAACCUUCCUGAAUACUUGUUCGUUAGACAUGAGCCAACUGCCUCCAUCACUGCUUGAUUAGUAAAAUUUUCUGAGGUAAUAAGCUCAAGAUUCUUGAACUAUCGGUGCUUGGGUUCUAACGGGUCGAGGUAGGAGAGGAUGCGGCAGUCGCCGAUGAGCUCCAAGAAGGGCAUGUAAAUACCGGUGAAGAUGUAUUUCUUCUUGACUUUCGAGACAUCGAAGGGCAACGAGAAGCUCUUGCCGUCGAGGAGAGCGACGACCUGGGACUUGUAGGUGACGGUGGGGCCCGGCGGCAUGUUGAUUGGAAAAAACCUGAAAGGGUAGGUUACCUGACAGGAAGCUCUUCCCACUGGCCGUGCUGUUGGAUGAUUGAAAAUUUUGAAGGGGUAGGUUAUAGACCCAUCAAAGGUGGUGGACGUCGGUCACAGCUCUCUCGUCGGGGACAACACCUUUCUUGGUAGCAGCUGGAGUAAAUGGGACUGUCAUUGCGCCAUGUUCCAUUCUGACAAGGCAAACUUUAACGCCGGGACGGGUGGCACUAAGUGUUGUUGACAUGGUUGUGUUAAAAACCGACAUAAUCGAAGCUCACAUCCACGUUGGAUUUCAUGGCUGUCUUGAUCUGGGCAAUUUCAUCAUCCAAAUCCUCUAUUUUUGUCGAAAGCUUUGACAGUGUCAUUAGCACCGAGACGACCUUGAAGGGCUUUUUGAGCAGGACCGUCGACGACCUUGAAGGGUUUUCUGAGCACGGAAGGGAGAUGAAGUGCAUCGAUACAACCGGCCUGGACCUCGCUGUAGACGGAGGCGAAUCGACCGGUGACAGGUGCCGGAACUGACUCAACAUCGGCAGCACCGUCGUUAGCAAUUAGUGAUGAUGGAUGAAUGAGUGGUUGAUUUCGCUAAUGUAUAAGCGACUGUCUGGAAGCUGACUGGAGCUUUUGCAGAGAGAUAAUGGUGAAGCAACGUCAUGGAAGCUGUUUGGAGCUUUUGCUUCUGGACUGCGUCCCAUGACUGGUGCAGGGGAGAAGUCAUCAGCAAAUUUGCUAGUUCAAGCCCCGUACUGCUAAUUUGGUUGUUCAUCUUCAGUAGUUUCUGUAGAAAUAUGCUUCGCAGAGAGAGAAUGGUGAAGCAACGUGAGAGCUGGACGACGUCGUUUGAGCUGGUAGGGGAACUAGGAGAGAUGGAACGAGAUCUUAUGAAUCAGAAAGGAAGGUUUGGACUCAUGGGUUCCCAUCCAAAAUUCAGCAUAUGAUUUCUUGAGUUUUGGAGUUUUCCUUUCUGCAUUUUUGAGAUAUGGGUUUUGCAGUGACUUUGGUUUCUGGGUUUGUGUGAUUUUGCAGAUUCACGGCGAAUGUGAAAAAAUGAAAGAGAACCGACAUAACUUUUUGUGUCGAUUCCCACAGACGGCGCCAAAUGUUGAUACACAAAACCGAAUGGUCUUGGAACAACAUAAAUCUGAUCGUGAAUCUGCAAGAAAUGUAAAUGACCUAAGAUGUAUCGUGGUUCAUCCCAAGGUUUGGGCUACGUCCACACUGAUUGUAUUUAUUUGAGGGAGAGAGAGAGAGCUCUGAGAGUGAGAGCGUUGAGAUAGGGUGAGAGGAGCCCUAGGAAUUGGCCUCCCCCAAUUGUGAGGGUAAAAGGUCCUUUUAUAAAAUAAGGACUCCUCACUUAUUACAUAUUUGCCCCUUCCUUUAUUACAUAAUUACAUUUAAGUCCCCCGAGUAUUUAUACGAGGUCUAAAUACGAGGCCCUAAAUAUGGUAUAAACAGCGUUCAUGUGUGAUAAGGAUGUGGAUAUUUUGAAUUAAACAUGGUUUUAUUUGGCUGGAUAAUUGCAUGAUAACCUCAUGCAAUUAUAUUGGUUUUGAUCCUGUCAAACAUGGAUGAUUUUUCGUGGACAUUUUAAAUAGGUACUCAUCCAAUUUAAGAUGAGGGCUGAUGGAAGAUUAAUCUGCGCAUGCAAACCACAUCAAAGAUCAAAUAUAAUCCUUUGAAGAUCAAGCCACGUCAAACACAUGGGAGAUUGAAAUUGGACUCUACUCAAGGAUCAAGCCACGUCAAGCAUGCAUGUCUCUAUAAAUAGGAGUGGUUGUGCAACAACAAAAGGACCUCCAACUCAACACACAAACUGCCAUGCUCAAAUCCUCGCUUUACGCGAAACCUCUCAAACAUCUUGAGAUUUUUUAUUUUAUUUUUCGCCAACACAUCUUCAGUUUGGAUAAAUAGCACUGUGAAGGCAACCGGCGAACAUCUUCAGUUUAGAUAAACAGCACUGUUGCCGUAGAAUCAGCCGACCGUGAAGCACCUUCAGUUUGGAUAAACAGCACUGAGACGGGGCCGACUGGUUAUCUAUCCAAGUCUUGGUCGAGAAUGAUUUUCAAAUCCUUAUUGGCAGAUGUCAUCUCGUUAGCCUUCUCGGCAAAAAGAUGUGUUACAAGUUACUACAUUCGGCACAUUAAAAGCCGAAUUUGAUAUUGAAUUUCGCAGAACUAGCAGCCUUGUAUUCAGGCUCUAGAACCCGAAGGUCAAGACGUGUUCCUUCCUCGGCUGCAGUCGCACGAUCGAGAAGUCAGACGCGCAUCCAACGCAACAUCAACAAAUUUAACUCUUCAACCGAGCUCGGCCAACGAGUUGGCACGCCCCGCAUACAACCGAAUGACGUAGUUAGCUUACUAAUUACUCGGCCUGCGCGCCACGUAGGCUUGGUAGUUUUUAGGGUCAACAGGAAGAUAUUCCUUUUUUUUUUUAAUUUUUUUUUUAUAAAAAUGAGAAUUAGUUGUGGGGUUCACACAACAUUGAACUUUAACGAUCCGAACCGUUUAUUUUUCAAGUUGUACCUCAUAGACCAUCAUUCAAAAAUAUUAGCCAAAUCGGUAAUAUUUAAGACAUCUAAUUGGGCUUAAAAAAAUAAACGAAUACUUUGUUAUAUAAGAAACAAUGAAAUUUGAUCUUGAUAAUUAAAUAGGCAAAUGGUUUCGAAUUGAAUUGAAUUUUUCCGAGGAUGAUCUAUGAAACAAAAUAGACAGUUCAGAUCGUUAAAAUUCAAUGUGGAGUGGGCCCCAUAACUAAUCCUCAUUUAAAAAAAUAAAUAAAUCUUUUUGCAUAAAGGGCCUGAUAUAUAUAACUAUUUUACCUACCUCUCAAUGUUUAUGUGACACUCGCUUUUACAUGGUUAAGCUCAUAUGGAAUUUUUGAGAACUCAUAUGAAUUUAAAUUUUUUCGAGUUGUGUGCGAUUCUAAUAGCACUUUGUGUUACAUAUAAUUCGCCCUAUUUCUCAUGUCAAUGUUCAUUCCGACACAAUGCAACAUACGAAAUUCAGUAGUCACUUAUGUUGUGUGAUAAAGAUGCAGAGAAUAAAAAUGGUAAAUUGACACUAAUGAUUUUGAGAAAGGUAUACCUUACUUCAUUGCCACCAAGAUUAACCGGAGAUAUUAGAUCAUAAGCGUAACUGGUCUUCAUCUUAGGGUACAAUGGACCAGUUAGAACAUAUAUUGGAACAGCUUCUAUUGAAGAUACAAAGGGAACCAUUCCCUUCUCAAACUGCACAACACACACAUUUAGUGAUCCUGACCCUUGAUUCACAUACAUGGCUUCAUGGUACAAUGGCCCUUCCGCCAUUGAUGCUUUGACCGUUGACCACUUUCGGCCGUUGAUACAAAGAUCAAACGGCGGAGGGCGGGAGAGACCAUCAUAGUCUCCGUAGUAGAAGCCCGCCCUGAUCAAGUACCGCUGAGUAGGUGCAUUGUAAGGCAAAACAUAACAAUUUUGCUGGUUUUGGUUAGGGAAUGAUCGGAGGGUGUUCAUUGCUUCAAGUGGUUGCUUUUGUGGAACUUGCUUGUUGAUGCCUGCCUUGGUGUAGUCAUUGUCUGUGACCCAUUAGAGUAAGUUUUAUCCCAACGUGUAGCAUUGCUACCGCAGUCAAUGUUCAGCCAUCUGAUUGUAACUGCGAUUUAAAAAGCAAUAAUCAAGAGCAAGUUUGAUGUACGCGGUCAAUCACAAUCUAAACUAUCGAUCAGGUGACUUUGUACUCGAAUGAAUAUAUAUGAACAAGAAUUGAGAGUUUAGUAACAUAACGACAUGACGGAGGAAAUAAAAAUUAUGCGUUGCAAGUUAGACGUACUAUGAGACGAAGCGCGGAAUAAAUGGAAGGCUAGAAGAAGCGCCGGUACCCAUAAAUUUGUAUUCAUAGAGAGUGGCUUGAGUUUUAGAAUUGAGAAUGAAUUUCAGUGAGGGAUGUUUGGUUUAUGAGGUUAGAUUUGAUUUAGUUAUGUGACUUAUGUCAAUGAAAAUACCCUCCCCUGGAUAUCUCCACCGCAGAGACUAAUAUUAUAACAUAUAUAUACACACACACACACUGCUGUGACAAAUAUAUACAUACAUGUCGCAGUGGCACUAUUUCUUGAAUUUAUCUCUGUUUCGUUAAGAAAUAUCGAAACCAACAUUGCAAACUUCAAACUUUUGAUCUAAAUAUAAUUAUUUAAUAAUUACCAAUGGGUUUCCAUAGAAAUUUAGUAAAAACAAGACUAGCUAGUGGCUUAACCACAACAAUUCCAUUCUUCUGGGGGUCGGAAAGACUCAUGAGGACAUUUUAGACUCUCUUGGCAACCAUCUUGUGAUCGAACCUAGAAUGUAUCGUAUAUAAAAUGGGCCGAUAAUUCGUUAAACCUACAAAAAAAAAAGUCAAAGACAUGUGAUAUGUAUUUUUACCACCUACAAAAGUAAGGAUAAAAACACUUUAAAUACUUGCAAGAGUACAAGGUAAUUGUAGUAUAAUCGGCUCUAGCAAGGUCGUUCUCUUCAGGGAUUGAAUGAAUAAUUUGUAUCUAAUCAAAUCUUAAUUAAUUACUUAAAACAAAGUUUUGGAAAAAGGUGAUUUUGUGAUUUCAAAUAAUAAAAACAAAUUUAAUAGAAAUAAAGUGACAAAAUAAAAUAAACUAAAAGAAAACAAGUUUUGAAAAUUAAAUUGUAAAAACCUAGGGUUCCGCCGUCACCUUACAAUCUUAUGUAAUUCUUUCAAUUACUUAUGAAUUACAAAUGCAUAUUUUGAAGCCUAGGUUUUCCUAAUAUAUGCCUACUUGGACCCCCAACAUAGAGCGUAUAUCAAACAUGCAACCCGUCUGUGUUAUUCAAAUCAAAUCUAAACAUGCAUGACUUAUUAAGCUUUGUGAAACCUUUUAAAAAACCAUACAACCCUUAAGACAUGGUAUUCAUCCUAAGUGAACUUGCACAUAUUAAUCACAAGAAGCAUUCGUCAAUUUCAGGGACUGACCUCUGACCAAAAUUGCAUCAAAUUAUUUUUCUAAAGAUCUUAAUGGUAGCUAAGCAUUAAGACAAAUAGAUAGUUUAAACCAGUGAUUAAUAAUUCAAACGUGCAUGCAUAAUAUCAUAACCAAAUUGAAAAGAAACUACAUAUUCUUGCUAAGGUUCGUAGCAUCACCCUAGCAAACGGAAUUUAGUUACAAGCAAUCAUACAACGAAAUAUUAUUAAAUAUAAGGAUAGAAAACACCUUCAAAAUAAACUUGAAUCCAAAAGCUUUCUAAAGUGUGCAUGCAUUUUUUUCCUAUCCCCCUAUCUUCUCUAAAAAAAACCAUAAUGGCUAAAAAGCCUUAUUUAUACUACUAGAAAAUAAAACCCUACCUAGAAAAAGUCUUAGAAUAAAACUAGGAAACCAAAUAAAUUAGGAAACAAAAUCCGACUAAUAAAAUUCACCCAAAAUCUGCGUAGUCUCAAAAUAGCCACGUUUCUGGAUCUUCGGGGAUUCAAAACAGGCCUAAAACGGCUAGAAUUAAAGCUUGAGAUGUCCCGAGCAUAAUUGUACAAUGCCUCGAACCCGAAAGACACCAUAUUGGACACCAAAAAACCCCAAGAAGCCCAAAACGUCACUUUGACAGCACUGUGCGCUGCUCGUUUAUUUGAUCGCCAUAGAUAAAGCGCUCGGUAUAAAAUUAUGAAACUUUGAUACAAUCAAUUCAACAGACUCACGAACAUCCUCCAAUUGGAAUCACUCCAAAAUUCAUCUGUUUGAUCACUUUUGGCUCCGGAGGAAGUCGAAUAUCCUACAUUAAGAAUAUAAAUCAAAGUAUCAAAAUUCUACUAAAAUAACCAAUAAAUUAAUACUAAGAAUAAGGUAAAAUAUAUAGUAUAAUAUAGACUCAUCAACGUGUUAAAGUAAAAAUAUGGGUUAGGGGUCUUAGGCAGUUAACUAGAGCAGUGUGUCAACCCCUUAGCAUUCAAGUUUGAAACUCUUUUUUUUUUUUUUAAUUUGAAUAGUUUAUAUUCUUUGUUUGACAAGACAAAAUAUAUUUUAAAGUACUCAAUUUUAUGGUUUUUAAUUUGAAUAGUUUAUAUUCUUUGUUUGACAAGACAAAAUAUAUUUUAAAGUACUCAAUUUUAUGGGAAGAGGUAAUCGAACUUGGGUGCAAAUGGUUAGACCCUCCCAACUGAUGAUACAAAGCCAGAGAUUUGGUCCAAAAUUUGGGGUUUGGUUGGGUUCAAAAGCAAUGGUACAUGCGUAUCAGAUUAGGCAUAUUUACCAAUCGACAUCCAUAUUUGUUGAUUUGAAUUAAACAUAACAAAACAACACUAAUAUUCCUCAUAAAACAUGAUCAUUUUUCUUUAAAUUAAAUAAGACAUAGCACUUUCCUAUAGCUUCAUAGAUUGUAUGUAAAUAAUUCACUAAGCACAGAACAGGAAUCCCUCUCAAGUUUUAUUUCUCCUCUCAGUUUUCAUGCCUCCACUUUUUCAUUUCCGGCUUCAGCACGAUAAGAUUCCUUGCACCCAUUCAACAAUUCAGAUAACCUCGCGGCCAAACUUUGCUUUGCUGCAGGAGAAACACCGUGCUUUCCAACGAUCGACUCUAGAACUGCCUCGGAAAGUAGUUUGUUUUCUAUCACCGUGUUUGCAGCUUCAGGUACAGAUGCAUCUCUAGAGAAGCUAAUCUGUGGCGAAAGCAAGGGGGAAAGAUGUCAAAAUCCGAUGUAAACUACAGAAGUAACCAUCCAAAAGUAGGAUUACUAACCGUUAGUGAUCCUUUGGGAGAUUGCGUGAAAAGAAUGGAGGCGCCGGGUGGGAAGUUUUGAUCUUUGAAGACCUCAAGGAACUUUUCAAUGGCUUUGCCUUCUGCAUCAGUGUAAAUUCCGAUUGACUUCCAAAAGGCAACGCAAUUCUCCGAAACUUUGUCAGAGUAUUGCUGGCCUGUGAGUGGCAGUAUCGUUGUCACUUGAAUGAAUUUCUCAAACGGACCUACAAAAGGAUAGCGAAGAUCAUAAACCGCGCUACAAAACUAUAGUCAUAUCUUUAGUAACUGUUUCCUAUGCCUCAAGUAAUCACCAUAACCAGAAGAUAGCACUACAUUUUGAGAGAUUCAUUCAUUCUAAUUGGCUGGUCAGGACUAAAUUACCACCAUAACCAUGAGCAUACAUAAGUUUAAAAAUGAGAGUAUAACUCAAGAAAUCUACGACAUUUGUUGAAUGUACAGAUCUAUAUCGGCAACUGAGAGAAGGGCGGGCCACAGGGGAUGAAUAAUGUAACAAUAUUCAACCAGUCGUUAAAACAGCGAAGAAAUCCGUGUUACCUGUAACGAUGUCCCUGAAGAACUCAACGGACUCCGUCAACUCCUCGGCCGUCUUACCCUUCCACUUAACGGCGAGCAGAGGCACGGCGUUUUCCUCCAAGUACACUCCGAUCGCCGUGAACUUCACGAAGUUCCCCUGAAUCUCCAGCCCCCUCACCCCUGCGCACGUUAGCAACCAAAAUACCGUCAAUCGGAACCAAAAGCAAGCAAAAAACAUUCAAACAAUCAGAAUCGCAGAUAUAAGCGGCGGAGAUGCAAAGUUUACAGACCUGCGCCUCCGAGGAACAGAGUGUUGGAGGAGCCCGGAGGUUUGACGGACGGUGGAAACGCAGUCGUCUCGACCUGGAGUCCGGCGAGCGAUGGCGUUGGAGCCAUUUGACAAUUUUGUUGUUAUUGUGUAGAGAGAGAGAUGGGGUUUGCUUUCGGAAACGGUGGAUUUAAAUAGAGAUGGAAAGUGGACGGGAGAGACCCGCUUCUCUGGGAAUAGAGAUGGAAAGUGGACGGGAGAGACCCGCUUCUCUGCCCUCCCACUUUUCAUACACACUCAUCGUUUCUGUUUUAUGAUCACGGUUAAGCUAUAUUAAAAUUUUAUAUUAAUCUUUUUAUAAAAAUAAUAAUAAUAUAAAAAUUUAACCCAACUUAAUACCUUAAUUGUAAUCGUAUAAAUAAAAAAAAGAUAAGAAUGUAUAAAAAAUAAAAGGACAGAGAGAGUCCAGGUCCGGACGGUAGAGGGUUUGAUGAGUAAGAAGAGGCGGUUGCGUGGGAGCCUUAAAGACGUGCGGGCGGCUGGAGGUAAGUCUGGGAGGUGUCCACAAACUGAUAGUCUGGUACCCAGAAAUAGAGAGAGAGAGAGAGAGAGAGUAAAAGAUUGUAAAGAACUUUUCUAAGGUAAAAAGAUAGUGAUUGGUCCAUCUUGGGUGAUGUGAUCAAUUAGUUUUAAUUAAUAGCUAAAAUAUCGAUAAUAUUGAAAAUAUCAGUAAUCUAAAAAUACGGAAAUUUUAAUGGAAAUAUCGAAAUAUUAUCGAUAUCGAUAAAAAUUGAAUAAAAAUCAUGAAAAUUGUAAGAAAACAUUGUAAGUGUAGAAAAUAUGUAGUAAUUAAUUAAAGAAGUUUAAACAUAUCAUAAUCAUUUAUAUAUUGUAUAACACAUAAACCUUAGGUGAAUUUAGAGUAAAUAAAUUUUUUAUUUGUUGAAAUUCCUUGAUAUUUUUUGCUAAAUUUUAGAAACUGUGUGUUUACAAAUAUAUUGAAGCAACUUUUUUUAUUUAACAAUUAUUAUUUAUGAAAUUUGAACUUAUAUAUCUUCUUUUUUUCAAAUAAAGUGAAAUUUAAGUAUAAUUAGACCAAAAUAUUAAAACUUAUUUAAUUUUUGUUAAAAUAAAUAAUAAAUAAUAAGGCAAAUAAAUAUUAAAAACAAAAAACAUUUAAGACAAUAGUUGCCAGGAGAUACCGGCAAUCCUUUAUUACGCGCGUUCCACUUCAGUACAUACAUCGCCACACACAGAGGAAUUAGAUCCGCUUCGGACCUUAGUGUGUUGAGCUUAAGGAUCAAAUUAUCUAGACCGUUGAUUAGUGUGUAAAAGAAAUCGGAACUGUUGAUUUUGUAUGAUAUCAGGAAAAUGAGUUAAUAAGGAUCUUGAGAUUGAAUUUAUAUGGUCCAGAUGAAUUGAUAUCUAGGCUCCGAACACUAAGAUCCGAAUCGGAUCCAAUUCCACAUAGAAGCACACGCGUUUUGUCUCCUUUCCUAAAUCAGCCCUAAUUCCAAUCUAAUCCAAUCCGCACACGAACCUCAAACCUUAAUUCCCAAAAUUUGUCCUCUAAUUCUUGCCAAAGCCCUCAAUUUCUCCCUUUUCCAAUCCCACCAUCUCCUCGUCCCAAACCCCAACCCUAAUCCAGAAGCAGAAUGCUUCUUACUCCGGGUCAUUAUCCUCGCCACCUCUCAUCCCCUUCGCCCUCUGCAAAUUCCGAUGCUUCCAUCCAAAACCCUACGAAUUCCACCCAAAUCACGCCCAAGAACCCUAAAAGCCAUCCACAGGUCCUCGACAAGGACACCUAUGUUGCGCCGAUCGAGAAGAUCAUCGAAAUUGACUUCUUUCACGAUAUUUCCAAGCUUCGAGACCGCCUCGACUAGCUCGAAGCGAUUAACACCCACGACUCAGUUCAGAUCCGAGAUGCCCAGUUGAAGAUCAUCGAGCGCCGCGGAAAGAAUGUAACUCAUAAUCCUGACCCUAAUGGUAGAAUCCCUGUGUUUCCCCCUUCCCCACUCAUUCGAACUUUCUCCCUCAUUCAUCUUCUUGUUUCUUCUCCCUCUAUCUCUGUAACUCUCCUUCCCGGAGCACAAGCACAACACACCCACACCCCACCGUGACCUCCACCACAGUGGCACACACUCCGGUGAACACCAUUACCACCUAUGGACCAUUCCUCCUCCCUUUCUCAACUCCCAGCGAGCACCAUUAGGCAAGAGGAGGCCUUGUUUGUUUUGGGAUCCGGAGAAAAGGGAUUGCUCAUUUUGAUGGGUUUGAGCGUGGAUUGCAGAGAGAGGCACUGAUCUUGGCAACUACGACGAUGGAGCCUCAACUGCAAUUUUGCGACGACGGAGCCUCGGCGAUAUUAUCGAUAAUAUCGCGAUAUAUUGAUGAUAAUUAAGUGGAUAAGUGUGAAAAUAUCGCCCUUUCAAAAAAACGAUAUUAUUGGCGAUAUUUCGCCGAUAAUAUCGAUAUUUUAGACCUUGGUUUUAAUUAUGAAAACAAUGAUUUAAUUUUGCGGUCCUCAAAGGGCAAAGAAGAAGAAACCAACUUUUCUAGGAUCAAAGGGUAGACAGCUACUUCUUAAAGGGUCAUCAAAUGGUUUUAAUUAUGAAAACCACCCACUUGCAUGGGGCUUUUUAUAUUUUUAAAGUUUGGGAUGUAUAGUAUAUGCAUAUAAUUUUUUUUUUUGAUAGAAAAAGAAAAUAUUAUAGCGAAAAAUCUCUUACACAGCUAGUACUAAUACAGUCAAAUUGAAAAGUUAGGUGAGCAUCCACAGGGUGACAAGCAUCCUAAAUACAAAGAUUCGAACAAUUAAGACCAAUAGACGCCAAAGCAUCCCAAAUACAUAAAAAAUUCACAUAUGUAUGUUCUUCUAUAAGAAAUAACAUAUUAUUCAAUAAUUAUUUACACAUGAUCAAUGGUGGAUCCAGGAUUUUAACAUAGGGUGGUCCUAAUAUACAAGUUCUAGAAGAAAAAAAAUCCGACUAAUAAAAUUUGCUCAAAAUCUGCAUAGGCUCAAAACAGCCACAUUUCCGGAUCUUCAGUGCUCCAAAACAGGCCCAAAAUGGCUAGAAUUAAAGCUUGAGAUGUCCCGAAGAUAAUUGUAUAGGGCCUCGAACCCAAAAGACACCAUAUUGGCUACCAAAAAACCCAAAACGUCACUUUGACAACACUGCACGUUGCCCAUUUAUUUGAUCACCAUAAAUAAACCGCUUAGUAUAAAAUUAUGAAACUUUGAUACGAUCAAUUCAACAGACUCACAAACAUCCUCCAAUUGGAAUCACUCCAAAAUUCAUUUGUUUGAUCACUUUUUGCCUCAGAGGAAGUCGAAUGUCCUACAUUAAGAUCAAAUUAUCAAAAUUCUACCAAAAUAACCAAUAAAUUAAUACUAAGAAUAGGGUAAAAUAUAUAGUAUAUUAUAGACUCAUCAACGUGUUAGAGUAAAAAUAUGGGUUAGGGGCCUUAGGCAGUUAACUAGAGCAGUGUGUCAGCCCCUUAGCAUUCAAGUUUGAAACUCUUUCUUCUUAAAUUUGAGUAGUUUAUAUUUUUUUGUUUGACAAGAAGAAAUAUAUUCUAAAGUACUCGAUUUUAUGGGAAAAGGGAAUCGAACUUGGAUGCAAAUAGUUAGACCCUCCCAACUGGUUGACACAAAGACAGAUUUGGUCCCAAAUUUGGGGUUUGGCUGGGUUCGAAAGCAAUGUUACAGGCAUAUCAGAUUAGGUAUAUUUACCAAUCGACAUCUAUAUUUGUUGAUUUGAAUUAAACAUAUAACAAUACAACACUAAUAUUUCUCAUAAAACAUGAUCAUUUUUCUUUAAAUUAAAUACGACAUAGCACUUUCCUAUAGCUUCAUAGAUUGUAUGUAAAUAAUUCACUAAACACAGAAUAGGAAUCCCUCUCAAGUUUUAUUUCUCCUCUCUCAGUUUUCAUGCCUCCACUUUUUCAUUUCCGGCUUCAGCACCAUUAGAUUCCUUGCACCCAUUCAACAAUUCGGAUAACCUCGCGGCCAAACUUUGCUUUGCUGCAGGAGAAACACCGUGCUUUCCAACGAUCGACUCUAGAACUGCCUCGGAAAGUAGUUUGUUUUCUAUCACCGCAUUUGCAGCUUCAGCUACGGAUGCAUUUCUAGAGAAGCUAAUCUGUGGCGAAAGCGAGAGAGAAAGUUGUCAAAAAUCCGAUGUAAACUACAGAAGUAACCAUCCAAAAGUAGGAUUACUAAAGUAGGAUUACUAACCGUUAGUGAUCCUUUGGGAGAUUGUGUGAAAAGAAUGGAAGCACCGGGUGGGAAAUUUUGAUCUUUGAAGACCUCAAGGAACUUUUCAAUGGCUUUGCCUUCUGCAUCAGUGUAAAUUCCGACUGACUUCCAAAAGACAACGCAAUUCUCCGAAACUUUGUCAGAGUAUUGCUGGCCUGUCAGUGGCAAUAUCGUUGUCACUUGAAUGAAUUUCUCAAACGGACCUACAAAAGGAUAGCGAAUAUCAUAAAUCACGCUACAAAACCCAAGUCAUAUCUUUAGUAACUGUUUCUUAUGCCUCAAGUAAUCAUCAUAACCAGAACAUAGCACUAUAUCUUGAGAGAUUCAUUCAUUCUAAUUGGCUAGUCAGGACUAAAUUACCACCAUAAGCACACAUAAAUGUACAAACUUAGAAUACAACUUGAAAAAUUUACAACAUUCAUCGACCACGACAGAUCUAUAUCGGCCUCUGAGAGAACGGUGGGCAGUAGGAUUGCCUCAGUUUGCCAUGACUACCAAUCAUUCUAAAACGGCUCCACCUUAAGAUGCAGGGCAUGAGCAAUAUCUACACUUUCAACAGCAUCAACAAGAGCUCAAAUCAAUUUACCAAAAGAUACAGAAGGCAUCCAUUUGAAGAUUAAUAUGAUUAUAGUUUGAAUCUGACCGUGCAACCGGACUAUGAUAAAUAGAAGGGAAGAUAUAUAUGAAACCAACUUAUCUUUAACAAGUCAUCCACUUGUGUGAACCUUUUUUAAUGUGAAAAUGUACUUAUGAAAAGGUACGGAUAAAGGGUCAAACAUAUAUAAGUUAAAUAAAAUUGUUAAAUAAAGAGUCGAAAAUAUGUAUUCAUAGGUCGAACAUCAAUGAAUUUUGCUCCAAAAGAAGUCAAAAGUUAACUUAAACUCUAAAUUUGACUUAUUUCAUCUCUAAUACACUGAAAAAAAUUAGUUAUAUAUAUGAAUAAUUUUUCGUUCUAUCUGGUAAAUUUAGCUAAAAUUGGUUUCACCAUAGCAUGCAAUUUUAUUCCUUUGCUAAUUAUAACACGACAAAGUAACAAAUUUGCAUUGGUAACUGGAAUUUACUGUCAAAAUUCAAACGGUUGUUAAAACAGCAAAGAAAUCCCCGGUACCUGUAACGAUGUCCCUGAAGAACUCAACGGACUCCAUCAACUCCUCGGCUGUCUUACCCUUCCACUUAACGGCGAGCUGAGGCACGGCGUUAUCCUCCAAGUACACUCCGAUUGCCGUGAACUUCACGAAGUUCCCCUGAAUCUCCAGCCCCCUCACCCCUGCGCAUGUUAGGAAGCAAAGUACCGUCAAUCAAAACCAAAAGCAACAAACAAUCAUAAUUACGGAUAUAAGCGCCGGACAUGCAAAGUUUACAAACCUGCGCCGCCGAGGAACAGAGUGUUGGAGGAGCCCGGAGGUUUGACGGACGGUGGAAACGCAGUCGUUUCGACCUGAAGUCCGGCGAGCGACGGUGGUGGAGCUAUUUGACAAUCUUUCUCAUUUCCGGCUUUGGCAUCUUUAGAUUCAUUACACCCGUUCAACAAUUUGGAUAACCUUUCGGCCAAACUUUGCUUUGCUGCAGGGGAAACACCGUGCUUUCCAACGAUCGACUCUAGAACUGCCUCGGAAAGUAGUUUGUUUUCUAUCACCGUGUUUGCAGCUUCAGGUACGGAUGCAUCUCUAGAGAAGCUAAUCUGUGGCGAAAGCAAGGGGGAAAGAUGUCAAAAUCCGAUGUAAACUACAGACGUAACCAUCCAAAAGUAGGAUUACUAACCGUUAGUGAUCCUUUGGGAGAUUGCGUGAAAAGAAUGGAGGCGCCGGGUGGGAAGUUUUGAUCUUUGAAGACCUCAAGGAACUUUUCAAUGGCUUUGCCUUCUGCAUCAGUGUAAAUUCCGAUUGACUUCCAAAAGGCAACGCAAUUCUCCGAAACUUUGUCAGAGUAUUGCUGGCCCUGUCAGUGGGCAGUAUGUUGUCACUUGAAUGAAUUUCUCAAAGGACCUACAAAAAGGAUAGCGAAGAUCAUAAACGCGCUACAAAACUAUAGUCAUAUCUUUAGUAACUAACUGUUUCCUAUGCCUCAAGUAAUCACCAUAACCAGAAGAUAGCACUACAUUUUGAGAGAUUCAUUCAUUCUAAUUGGCUGGUCAGGACUAAAUUACCACCAUAACCAUGAGCAUACAUAAAUUUAAAAAUGAGAGUAUAACUCAAGAAAUCUACGACAUUUGUUGAAUGUACAGAUCUAUAUCGGCAACUGAGAGAAGGGCGGGCUAUAGGAUUGCCUAGGUUUGGCAUGACUACCGAGCAAUCUAAAACGGCUCCGCCCUAAGAUGCAGGGCAUGAAUAAAGGUCGAACCCAGUGCACAAGGCUCCCGCUUUGCGCAGGGUCUGGGAGAGGUGAAUGUCGGCUAGUCUUACCCCCAUUUAUGGAGAGGCUGCUCCCAAAUCUCGAACCCGAGACCUACCGCUCAUGGGCAUCGCACAAGUGCGACCUCUAUGCAGGGCAUGAAUAAUGUAACAAAAUUCAACCAGUCGUUAAAACAGCGAAGAAAUCCGUGUUACCUGUAACAAUGUCCCUGAAGAACUCAACGGACUCCGUCAACUCCUCGGCCGUCUUACCCUUCCACUUAACGGCGAGCAGAGGCACGGCGUUUUCCUCCAAGUACACUCCGAUCGCCGUGAACUUCACGAAGUUCCCCUGAAUCUCCAGCCCCCUCACCCCUGCGCACGUUAGCAACCAAAAUACCGUCAAGCGGAAGCAAAAGCAAGCAACAAACAUUCAAACAAUCAGAAUCGCGGAUAUAAGCGCCGGAGAUGCGAAGUUACAAACCUGCGCCGCCGAGGAACAGAGUGUUGGGGGAGCCCGGAGGUUUGACGGACGGUGGAAACGCAGUCGUCUCGACCUGGAGUCCGGCGAGCGAUGGCGUUGGAGCCAUUUGACAAUUUUGUUGUUAUUGUGUAGAGAGAGAGAUGGGGUUUGCUUUCGGAAACGGUGGGUUUAAAUAGAGAUGGAAAGUGGUGGGUCCAUUGAGUGACGGGAGAGGGUUUGAUGAGUAAGAUGCGGCGGUUGCGUGGGAGCCUUAAAGACGUGCGGGCGGCUUGGGGGAAGCGUCAACAAACUCAUAUUCUGGAACUUACUACCCCAGAGAGAGAGAGAGAGAGAGAGAGAGAGAGAGAGAGAAUUUAAGGUUAAAGGGCAAAGAAGAAGAGACCCACUUCUCUUAUGUCAAAAGCUGGUAAUGGGUACAUCUCGGGGACGUGAAAGAGGUAACGUGGACAGCUACUACUUAAAGGGUCAUCAAAUGUUUUUAAUUGUGAAAACAAUGAUUUAAUUUUGUGGUUAAUGAAAGUGCAAAAAAGAAGAAACGAACUUUUCUAGGAUAAAAAGGUGAUUAUGGGUCCAUCUUGGGGGACGUGAAAGACGUAAAGGUAGACAGCCACUUCUUGAAGGGUCAUCAAAUGAUUUUAAUUAUGAAAACAACAUACUUAUAUGAAUUUUUUAUAUUUUUAAAAGUUUGGGAUGUAUAUUAUAUGUAUGUAAAGGUUAUAUAAAUUAUAAAUUAUUUAGAUAAUAUUUGUUUUUUUAUCCUAAGCAAGCAUAUUUUAUAUAUAUAUAUAUAUAUUUUUUUUGAUAGAAAAUGAAAAUAUUAUAGCGAAAAACUUCUUGCACAACUAGUACUAAUACGGUCAAAUUGAAAAGUCAGGUGAGCAUCCACAUGGAGUCAAGCAUCCCAAAUACAAACAUUCGAACUAUUAAGAUCAAUAGACGCCAAAGCAUCCCAAGUACAUAAAACAUUCACAUAUGUAUGUUCUUCUAUAAGAAAUAACAUAUUAUUCAAUAAUUAUUUACACAUGAUCAGUGGCAGAUCCAGGAUUUUAAUAUAGGAUGAUCCUAAUAUACAAGUUCCAGAAAAAAAAAAAACAAAAAAAACAUUGAAAAAUAAAUGGCAAACUACAACUUCGACAAAAAAUAUGUAUGAACUAACAUUGUAACACAAUCUUCAACAAAAAAAAAAAGCAUUGUAACACAAUUCAAGUAAUAUCAGACAAUCGUAACGAAUGAACAAUAAAUAUGUAUGAACUAACACUAAAAUAGAUAUGAAAAAAUUCCUAAGAAAUUAACAAUGAAUAGGCUGAACUUAGUUUAAAACCCAUUAGUGUGUGAUUGUUUGGCUUGUUAUCAAAAACCCUUGCCAAAAACCAUUAUCAAAGACCUUUACAUAUAUGUAUUCACUGUUCAGCCUAAAAAACUAAAACUAAAAAUCCUAAUAAAUUAACAAUAAAUAUUUAUGAACUAACACUAAAAAUAAGUAUGAACUAACACUUAACUAGAAAACUUACAAAUAUUCUGAAAGUGCUGUUAAUGGCCUUCGCUGGCUUGGGUGUCAUGAGAAAUAAUAGGCAAUGAAGUAUAUUAUAUUUGAUAAAAUUGAAUUUGAUUGAAAGUAGACUAAUGAAAAGUCAUGGGCUUUUAUUAAAUUUCUAAUUGUUUGCCUUUUUAAUAAAGAUGGUGAGUGCUAUCACGUGAAGGCUCUCAUGUGGGUUUUAAAUGUUUUUUUAAUGACUUGGAGAAUUUUUUCAAGCAACGGGAACACUCACCUCAUCAUUAGUUCCCGACAAAUAAAAACAGUCAUGUGUUUCUCUAUUUUUUUAACUAAAGUUUUUCAGCUGUCAGCUCUUGGCUUUUUAUUUAUGAUUAAAACAAUAAGUCAACAACUUUAGCUCUGUCUGGCAUUAAACUUUCAUUUUUCAUAUCUGUAAAUUUGUAAAUCUGCCCAGAAUUAUUUUCUACUAAAAUUCAGUUAUGCUAGUAUUCAUUACAAGAAACAAAUUUGAUCUUCGGUUCUUUGAGAUUGAACAAAUUAAUUCCUAAAUCUAAUCCGCCGACGACACCCAUCAUUCUCAACCUGAACGAUUCUUUCGAAGUUCGUGCAAAGGGAUUUUCCCUUUUUCAAACGAAAAAGAAGAAGACGAAUCGAAAACUUACAACGGGAAUGAAUUUCAAUCUUCAUCCUUCUCUUGAUCUUUCGACGAGAAAAAGGAAAAGAGGAAUUCAGAAAUAAAACAAAUAUGAACAUUUUAUUUUUAUUUUUGUUUUUAUUUUUGAGUCGAUGUAGGGAGGAGGGGCCAGUGCAGUACAGCGCCAUAAGUAUUUUCGAUGUGAAUGUUGAAUUGUACGAUCACCACGGAAAGGGCAUAUAGGUUUAGUUCUUCUAGUUACAAGCGUACGGUAUAUCUUUGUCUGCAUGCUGAAUUCUUUGUGUAGCCAUGGAUUUCAAACCAAACUCAAAGUUAUUGUACUUCUAAAACAGGAUUCCUUGGGUAUGUUUCUUGCAUAUAUGUACCUGCAAACUCAAAAACAUGAAAUCAACUCUUAAAACUAAAGCAUUGUUCCAAUCAACUUUAGAGAAAUAUUUUAGUUUGUUUCAAACUUUUAUGAUAUUGCAUAGUUUUGUACUCAUUGACAAUUAUUACUAUGUAGAUACGUGUUUUGCUAAAGAGCAACUUCAUCCCAAUUUUUUAGGCUGGCCUAAAGUCCAAAAAAGAGGGCGGCCCAAAACGUGUUAUGUGACGUCACAUAGGCCUACUGAUUUUUUUUGCGUUAGGCGCGUGGGAUACACACGCGAGUGAGUGCGCAUUGACAAUAGGAAAAGCACGACGAGGCCCGCCGUAUCAACGCACUAACUUGUAUCGGGGAGAAGCCACAUGGCUCGUUUUGGGCUGUUGGAUUUCUAAAGGCUAGUUUUUUGGACAGUUGAAUUUCGAACGGUCAAAAAAAUUUCAAAUUCAAACCCAACGGCUAGUGAUGUGGCACGUUAUGGGCCGUCCGAUCCCAAGAUCAACGGUCCAUGAUCUUCGUCCAAAAAACAAAAAAAAUACAAAAUGGUUAGAAUUAUGACCAUUGGCCACGUGUCCACAUUUGGGUUAUUGGAUUUGAAUCUUUUUCAAAUCCAACGGUUCAGAUUAAUUAACUUAAUAAAAAUUAUUAAAAAAUUAUUAAAAAUUGUUUAAAAUUACAGAAAAAAUUAAAAAAAAAGUUUAUUAAUUCUUUCUAUAAAUACCUAACCAUCAUCUUCCACCUUACACCACAUUUCAAUAUUUUCAACACUUUCAACCAAAACUUUCAUAUACUUUUUUUUGUGAAAAAAUGGCCCCGUGGAAGCUCAUUGAAGAUGUUACGUUGUGUCAAUGUUGGGUUCAAAUUACUCAUGACCCGUUUACGGGUAAUGAGAUGCAGUUACGAGAACUGUGGAGCAGAAUUACGGAAGCGUUUUGAGAUAGGCUUGGAGAUCGCACAAGAAGUAGUCAAGAUCUUCAAGGUCGUUGGAAAAAACUCAACAUAUCAUUUACUUGUUGGAAAAACGCUAUUUCUCAUGCUUCCACUAAUCUGAGUAGUCGAAGAAGUUUAGCGGAUCAGGUAACAAUAUUUUUAUUUAUUUAUAUAUAUUCCACCCGCAUCAAUAUUUUAAUUUAUUUAUUUGUGUUACACCCGCAUUGCGCCACAUUUGAAGAGUGGGAAGGGACGUCUAAAGAAGUGUCGAAGACCCAGCCGACUCAUCGGUCCCUAAGACCUCAAGGUAAAAAGGCGGAAAUAAAAAAAGGGAGUUCUUCCAAAAAUGACUACACAAAAUGUAUGGACGAACUUGCUCGCCAAGGUGAACUGAACAUGGCACGGGAAACGGCUAGAGAUGAGGCAAAAGCUGCGACUAUGGAAGCAAUCUUAGCAGCUAUUGAGAAACGUGAUGCGGCUAAUGAGAGACAAAGAGAAGUACAUAAUCGAGAAGGCCAGAUGCUUAGAGAAGAAAGGAUGACUUAAGUAGAUCGUGACACUAUAAACAAGCUUCUAGUAGGAAUGUCUCUGAAUUCUAAAUAUUUUUGGACAUCGGAAAAAAGAGACAUGGUGCAAAGGAGGCAUGCAAGAGACGAGGAAACAAGUCGAGGGGGUUCUAACUACACAGAUCUUACCAACAAAGAUCCAAGCACCACAUAUCCUAGCUCCUUUUCCAAUACAAAAUUUUGACCCUGUUUCCCCUAAAUCAAUAAACAUUUGUUAAUAUAUCACCAAAUUGUUUAAUUUAUGUGAAUUGGGGACACCUUACAUGCCUACAUUUCCCCCCAAAAUUUGAUAAAUUAAAUACCUUUGCUUAUUCAUAUUCUCAAAAUAUUAUCAGAGAAACUAAAGAGCUCAAGCAAGUAAGCCAUUGUUAACAGUUGCACAUCCUACUAAACUAAGAAAUAUAAGGGGAACAUCUACCAAAGGCAUCCUACACGACAAUUCUAAAUAUAAGAAAACAUGCAACCAGCAUGUAUCCAAGAGGAUCAUGGCUCUCUGUGGUCAUGAUGGAGAAAUGCUUAAGCUUAGACAGCACAUGCAUUAUAAAUUUAUAAACUAAGCUAAACAACCAUUUAGAAGUCCAUGAAUAAUGUACUUGGACGCCCCAUCACUAUCUAUUGCAUCUGUUAAUAAUUUAUUACCUAAAAGGAAAGACACUUUCAUCUCCUAUUGAAACAGCCUGUAUAAUCUAUUAAUAAUUUAUUACCCCACAAUACUUUCCCAACCAAUUUAUAUCUUAGGCCAUCUUCAACCGAUGGCUGGUCAAAUGGCUCGUUUUAGCCUUCUGGCCCUCAAAGAUUCUCCAAGAUAUUAAUAUUUUAAUAAACAGUACAAGGCAAUAUUUGCCUCCGUCUCCAACCGAGGGCCAGAGGGCCAUAGGGCUCGUUUUAGCCAUUUCACAAAAAACCAUUUCCAACCGAAGGCCAAAGGGCCAUAGGGCCAAACAUAGUUUAUUAUUUAAAAACAAAUUUUGUGAAAUAGAAGUUAUAGGAAAAAAAAUGGAAUUUAAAAAAAAUAUAUGAAACAAAUUUUGUGAAAUAGAAGUUAUAGGGAAAAAAUGGAAUUUAAAAAAAAUAUGAAAUAAAUUUUGUGAAAUAGAAGUUAUAGGAAAAAAUAGAAGUUAUAUGAAAAAUUUUGUAAAUAAAAAAUAAUAAUAAAACUGUAAAAAAAAAAAAAAAAUGCAACGGCUACUAGCCGUUGCAUUUGAAUUUUUUCUUAAGAAAUCUUGUCGGUUAUAAUCGACAGAAAUAACAAAACAUUAAAAAAAAAUAGCCAGCCCUCCAGCCCUCUCCGAUUUCGUGGGGCCCUCUCAGAUUCCAGAGUCCUCUGGCCUAGCCCUCGGUUGGAGACAGUUUUCGGGCUAUUUUCGGCCCUCUGGCCCUCUAGACCUUUCGGUUGGAGAUGGCCUUAUGGUGAAGCCUAGGCAAACACAACAGAAUCAAGAGGUACAAAUAAAGGCCAAACAACCUGUAUAAAUUUUUUAGAACCAUCCAUGGUGAUAAAACCCCAACUAACCAAAAUUUUACUCCAACGUUUCAACCCUAGUACCCAAUUCCUAACUCCCAGAUCUUAACCCAUGCUUGCUACCCCAAAAGGACAAAAUUUCAAUGUCGAUUAACUUUCAUUACCAAACAACAGAACCCAGAAUCCAAAAAGUAUGACCUUUAACAAUGACAACAUUGAACCAGCAUUAUAGUUGAGAAUAAAUAAAAAAUCCCUAAUCUUUACUCAGAUCACAAAUUCAUAAUCUUGUAGAUUGUAAGAUGAGUGAAAUGAAAGAUGGAACCUUUUUUAGCAAAGAUCAAUUACCAGCACAAAUUCAAGCUCCCAAUUUGCUAAAAAUAUGGAAGAAAAAAAAGAUAAUCACAACACAUACUUCAACCGGUCCUCUCAUUCCUUCCCAAAAAUCAUAAACAAAAUUUAACCAACACUAAAUUUUCCCAAAUUCGAACCACUUUUCUAAUCUAUCUUGAAAAACUAUAAACGCAUUUUAAUUCAACAUUCAUGAAUGGGUGCUCAAAGCGGGAAAAAAACCAAAGGAGAAAAAACAUACCAAAAAAAAUAACAGGACUGUUGAGUGCAUAAAGUUAUACUUUUAUGCCCUCUUUUACUUAGGUUUUUGACUUAAAAUCUCUAUGCAUCACAAGGUAUGUUGUUGUUUAUAUUGUAUUUCAGGAUGAAAGUAAGGGCUUGAAGAAAUCAUCUUAUUUUGAAUAUUUUAAGAACCUAGAAUGGAUAGUUUGAAGCCCAACUCGCCCAAGCCCAGACCGUAGCCCACAAGUAACCCAAGAUCAUCUAGAAAAGGCCCUUGCAAAACAGCCAACUUGCGAGCUUUGCCCUGAAGUGCUCAGAACGAAUUAGAUAAUGGGCCAUAUGUGGUUAGAAAGCCCUGGAAGUCUUCUUUCUGAUGGUCUUUACAGCUUGUGAUUUGAAGGUUUCGACAAUAAAUUAUGACAGAAUAAAGAGGAGCUGUUCAAUUACAAAUUCUGAUAACAACUAGUUUUCAAUUACUCCUAUACUAAAAGCUAAUUGUAAUGAGCUAUAAAUGAGAGUCAAUUCAAGGAUGUAAAUGUGUCAGAUGUUAGAAAACUCCUAAGCCUUUUAAUAGGAGACAAAUACACAACAUGAGGCGAGAAGAGGAGAAAAAAAACAUAAAAACAUAGAAUCUAGAGAGAGUAGGUGUAAUACCCUGAAAAACUUAAAAUAUAUGAUUAUGUGGAAUUUUUUUAUCGGAAAGUGAAAUAACUAAAAUGCCCUAGGUGGCUAAAUGUAAUGUUACGAGGACGUAUUUUAUCCUCAUAUAUUUUGUCAUGUUUCUUGACAUAUUUGGACAGAGCUUGAUCUAACAAACGAGUAGGCGCAAACUAUUCAUGAAACAGAGUUAUAACGAAGUAAUUAGAGAUGUUUUCAUUAUUGGAAAAAAAAUAGGGUUGGACGCUACCAAGUGGCAGCAAGAGAGAGAGGAAAUGUGGGAUGUGGGAAAGAAAAGGAGGAGGGGAAGGACAAAUCAGAGGAUAGAGCUAGGAGGAAGGGAGGGAAGGAAGAAGGAGGAAACUGGCCAACCCCGUUUCUCCACCCAACCUGGUUCCUUGACCCGGUCCUAACUUCUCCAUCCGACCUCCGUUUGAGGUGAUUCCAGUGUUUAUAAAAAGCUCUCAUCGAGCCCAACAUCCCUGUGUUGUUAGAUUUCUAGGUUUCUAACCCAAAUUCAUAAAUUGAAGCCACAAGACCCUCGGGUGUUCCAGCGGCUUUAUGCUUUUUCUGGUGAAUCCGUCAACGAAUAUUGUCAAUCUCCACCACCAAAAGACUUCCCUCAACCCCAGGAGCAAGGCCAAAGCCUUGGAUGAGGCGUCGGAGUUCAUUUUGGUGGCGAAUUGACAACUACCCAAAUUCUAAGGUUCUGGCGGGUUUAUGGCGAUUUGACGCUUUUUUCGGCCAAAUUAAACUUGGCCAUAGGUAUAAAGUUUGUUCCCCUUGACUUGUUCUACAAUUCUGUGAAAUUUGGAAAUUUUUUGAAAUAGUUGAAAUUUUCUAGCGAGUCGGGGCAGUCGACCGCCACCCACGGCGACGCUGGCCAGAGGGAUGUCGAUACUAUUUUUAGGCUAAAUUAGAUGCCUUAAUUUCAGUUUUGAUAUUCGUAUGACGUAGGUUGAUCGUUUAAACCUAAAUUCACUGCGAUACCUUACUUGAUCAAUUCCCGAAUUAGAUUUGCAAGUAUGUAAAAUAAAACGUUGACUGCCACUUGAUUUCGUGAUUGGCGGAGAUCCGACCGUUGGAUCAGAAUGAAAUUUUAGUAUGUUGUUCUAGAAGCGUAAGGUAAACUACGAAUGGCUUGAUCCUUUCUUUUAGGGUAUGUAAGCAGUCUAACCAGGAUGUUAGAUGCAGCCAUAAACUCAACAAAUUUUUUUUUUUUUUUUUUUUGUGGUUAGUUAGAAUUAUAAUAAAAACAAAUUUAAUAGAAAUAAAGUGACAAAAUAAAAUAAACUAAAAGAAAACAAUUUUUGAAAAUUAAAUUGUAAAAACCUAGGGUUCCGCCAUCACCUUAACAAUCUUAUGCACUUCUUCCAAUUACUUAUGAAUUACAUAUGCAUAUUUUGAAGCCUAGGUUUUCCUAAUAUAUGCCUACUUGGACCCCCAACAUAGAGCAUAUAUAAAAAAUGCAACCCGUCUGUGUUAUUCAAAUCAAAUCUAAACAUGCAUGACUUAUUAAGCUUUGUGAAACCUUUUAAAAAACCAUACAACCCUUAAGACGUGGUAUUCAUCCUAAGUGAACUUGCACAUAUUAAUCACAAGAAGCCUUUGUCAAUUUCAAGGACUGGCCUCCGACCAAAAUUGCAUCAAAUUAUUUUUCUAAAGAUCCUAAUGGGAGCUUAGCAUUAAGACAAAUAGAUAGUUUAAACCAGUGAUUAAUAAUUCAAACUUGCAUGCAUAAUAUCAUAACCAAAUUGAAAAGAAACUACAUAUUCUUGCUAAGGCUCGUGGCAUCACCCUAGCAAACGGAAUUUAGUUACAAACAAUCAUACAACGAAAUAUUAUUAAAAAUAAGGAUAGAAAUCACCUUGAAAAUAAACUUGAAUCCAAAGGCUCUCUAAAGUGUGCAUGCGUUUUUUUCCUAUCCCCCUAUCUUCUCUAAAAAAACCCUAAUGGCUAAAAAGCCUUAUUUAUACUACUAUAAAAUAAAACCCUACCUAGAAAAGGUCUUGGAAUAAAACUAGGAAACCAAAUAAAUUAGAAAACAAAAUCCGAUUAAUAAAAUUCUCCCAAAAUCUGCAGAGUCUCAAAACAGCCACGUUUCUAGAUCUUCAGGGCUCCAAAACAGGCCCAAAACGGCUAGAAUUAAAGCUUGAGAUGUUCUGAGCAUAAUUGUAUAAGGCCUCAAACCUGAAAGACACCACAUUGGAUGCCAAAAAACCCAAAGAAGCCCAAAACGUUUCAUUGACAGCACUGCGCACUGCUCAUUUAUUUGAUCGCCAUAGAUAAAGCGCUACGUAUUGAAUUAUGAAACUUUGAUACAAUCAAUUCAACAGACUCACGAACAUCCUCCAAUUGGAAUCACUCCAAAAUUCAUCUGUUUGAUCACUUUUGGCUCCAGAGGAAGUCGAAUGUCCUAUAUUAAGAAUAUAAAUCAAAGUAUUAAAAUUCUACCAAAAUAACCAAUAAAUUAAAAUUAAGAAUAAGGUAAAAUAUAUAGUAUAAUAUAGACUCAUCAACGUGUUAAAGUAAAAAUAUGGGUUAGGGGCCUUAGGCAGUUAACUAGAGCAGGGUGUCAACCCUUAGCAUUCAAGUUUGAAACUCUUUUUUUUUUUUUUUUUUUUUUUAAUUUGAAUAGUUUAUAUUCUUUGUUUGACAAGACAAAAUAUAUUUUAAAGUACUCGUUUUAUGUGAAAAGGGAAUCGAACUUGGGUGCAAAUGGUUAGACCCUCCCAACUGGUUGACACAAAGCCAGAGAUUUGGUCCAAAAUUUGGGGUUUGGUUGGGUUCAAAAGCAAUGAUACAUGCAUAUCAGAUUAGGCAUAUUUACCAAUUGACAUCCAUAUUUGUUGAUUUGAAUUAAACAUAACAAAACAACACUAAUAUUCCUCAUAAAACAUGAUCAUUUUUCUUUAAAUUAAAUAAGACAUAGCACUUUCCUAUAACUUCAUAGAUUGUAUGUAAAUAAUUCACUAAGCACAGAACAGGAAUCCCUCUCAAGUUUUAUUUCUCCUCUCUUAGUUUUCAUGCCUCCACUUUUUCAUUUCGGGCUUUAGCACCAUAAGAUUCCUUGCACCCAUUCAACAAUUUAGAUAACCUUGUGGCCAAACUUUGCUUUGCUGCAGGAGAAACACCGUGCUUUCCAACGAUCGAUUCUAGAACUGCCUCGGAAAGUAGUUUGUUUUCUAUCACCGUGUUUGCAGCUUUAGGUACGGAUGCAUCUCUAGAGAAGCUGAUCUGUGGCGAAAACGAGGGGGAAAGAUGUCAAAAUCCGAUGUAAACUACAGAAGUAACCAUCCAAAAGUAGGAUUACUAACCGUUAGUGAUCCUUUGGGAGAUUGCGUGAAAAGAAUGGAGGCGCCGGGUGGGAAGUUUUGAUCUUUGAAGACUUCAAGGAACUUUUCAAUGGCUUUGCCUUCUGCAUCAGUGUAAAUUCCGAUUGACUUCCAAAAGGCAACGCAAUUCUCCGAAACUUUGUCAGAGUAUUGCUGGCCUGUCAGUGGCAGUAUCAUUGUCACUUGAAUGAAUUUCUCAAACGGACCUACAAAAGGAUAGCGAAGAUCAUAAACCGUGCUACAAAACUUUAGUCAUAUCUUUAGUAACUGUUUCCUAUGCCUCAAGUAAUCACCAUAACCAGAAGAUAGCACUACAUUUUGAGAGAUUCAUUCAUUCUAAUUGGCUGGUCAGGACUAAAUUACCACCAUAACCAUGAGCAUACAUAAAUUUAAAAAUGAGAGUAUAACUCAAGAAAUCUACGACAUUUGUUGAACGUACAGAUCUAUAUCGGCAACUGAGGAAGGGCGGGCUAUAGGAUUGCCUAGGUUUGGCAUGACUACCGAUCAUUCUAAAACUGCUCAGCCCGAAGAUGCAGGGCAUGAAUGAUGUAACAAAAUUCAACCAGUCGUUAAAAACAGCGAAGAAAUCCGUGUUACCUGUAACGAUGUCCCUGAAGAACUCAACGGACUCCGUCAACUCCUCGGCCGUCUUACCCUUCCACUUAACGGCGAGCAGAGGCACGGCGUUUUCCUCCAAGUACACUCCGAUCGCCGUGAACUUCACGAAGUUCCCCUGAAUCUCCAGCCCCCUCACCCCUGCGCACGUUAGCAACCAAAAUACCGUCAAGCGGAAGCAAAAGCAAGCAACAAACAUUCAAACAAUCAGAAUCGCAGAUAAAAGCGCCGGAGAUGCGAAGUUUACAAACCUGCGCCGCCGAGGAACAGAGUGUUAGAGGAGCCCGGAGGUUUGGCGGACGGUGGAAACGCAGUCGUCUCGACCUGGAGUCCGGCGAGCGAUGGCGUUGGAGCCAUUUGACAAUUUUGUUGUUAUUGUGUAGAGAGAAAGAUGGGGUUUGGUUUCGGAAACGGUGGGUUUAAAUGGAGAUGGAAAGUG